GACGAUCGGCUCCUUAGACUUGAUCUACACUAUUGAAGUAUUUGAAAACUAAAUUUCAGAUUUUUUUGACAUCAUUUGACUAGUGAUCAAAAGAUCUCAAAAUUGACAAUUUUAAUGGCCGAUGUGGUGUGUUUGUGAGUUUAACGGUGUAAAACAAUCCAAAUGCGAUGAAAAUUUUAUAGAAAAUUAUUUUCACUAUUUAGAGUAAGAUCAGCAUAUCUGAUCUUGAAUUUAAAUCUUUUAUCAUCAUUUUUUAUAAGAUUUUUAUUUUCAGCCGUUCAAUUUUAAACUACUUGUUUAAUAGGUAAAUGAUAUCGAAAAAUUAUGAAAUUUAGUUUCUAAAUAUUUUCAAUAGUGUAGAUCAAGUUUAACGGAACAGAUCGUCGAUUUGGAAACCGCAUCAUCGAAAACAACUUGGUAGCACGGAGCGCUCCGUGCUAUCGAUAGUAUAGUAGCCUAGUUCUAUAUAUAUAUAUAACAACAUAGGAGGGAAUGAUAAAUUGGAAGCAAGUAAGCUACUUAUUCAAAAAAUAAUAAAAAUAAUUUGAAGGCGAACUUUCUUCUACAUUUACCAAUUUUUUGUAAAAAAAUUAUCAUUCUAUAUAAUCAGAGUAUAAUACAAACUAACCAAUCAUGAUAAAAAAAAAAAAAAAUUUUGCCAGCAUAUUAAAUUUUUCAUAAUUAAUAUUAAAAGAAUAAAAGAAAAUAACUAUACCAAACAAGACUUUGCGGAUUGAUUAUUUUAAAUGUACAGUAUUAUAUUUAACCAAUAAAACAUUCGUUAUAGACCAAUUAAAGUAGUUCACAUCAUAUAUAAUUUUUUAAAAUAGAAGUAUUAAUAAAUCAGAGUCAUCUUCAUUAUAUACUACAAUAUAUCGACAAUAAAAUAAUAUUUUUGAAAAUUUAUAGUAAAAUUAUACCAGAUUUUAUGAUAUUUAGAUGACGCUGCUUAAAAAUUCCUUUUUCUUUUGUACCCCUAACUUUUAAAACCACUUCAUUGCCAAAUAAUAAAUUUUUAAAAUUUAUAAUCUUAUAUACGCAAAUUUUUAGACAGUUUGAAUUACACCUGUUCAACGAGACAUGUUCAAAAAAAUAAGAAAAAACUUCAAAUACCACUCAUAUGGUUUCACACUUUCUUAUUUUAGUACUCUAUGGUUUAAAGUGUAUCAAUUUGGUAUCAUAUAGUUUCAUUUUUAUCUUUUUAUUAUUAAUUUCACUAAUUUUUUCGUUAAAUUAGUGACAAAAUUAAACCUAAAGAGUACUAAAGUGAAUAUUUGAUAAACCUAUAUAUGAUAUCUAAAGUUUUUUGUAUAUAAUUUAACGAAAUAUUAACGAAAAAAUUGAUGAAAAGAUAAAAAUAAAACCACAGAACACUAAAUUGAUACAUUUUAAAUCACAGAGUAAUAAAGUAAGAAAGUGUAAAAUUACCGUGUGUAUUUAAAGUUUACCCAAAAAAACAAAGGUGUGGUGUAGGAGAUGUACGGAUACACCGCGUUGAGGUCGGAGAGUUGUCGUGAACCGAACGAAGCCAAAAGUCCACGUACGCAAUGAUUAACUCCAUCGCAGCCGUCCGUUUCGUUGACCGUAGGCUUCAGUGGACGCUCACUUGGCCGUUAAACCCGCCUAUGUGAAGUGGUUCGAUUGGUUUUCAUCUUGUGGCUCGAGAGAGUGUUAAGUGGCUUUAGACUUUUCCAUUAUUUUUAAGAUUACAUUUUUUUUUUUUUUAAUCUAGUAUGUACCCAUGCGGAAUUUAUUGUCUCCACUUACUGGUUCACUAUAUUAUCCAUAUUAUUGUCCUUUUAUAGCUUGUGUUUUUUAUUCUACUUAUUUUUGAAUUAAAUUUAAUACUGUUAAAUAUCAUAUAAAAAUUUAAAAAAUAAUAAGAUUAGAAUUUACUGGUCGAUUUCGUUCGAUCCAAUCGUGUUUAUUUGAUAUAUAGGAAUUGAACUACCUCACUAGAUGAAUAGCUAGAGCACGGUGUACGGGAUAAUCUGGCGCACCAAGUCCAAGCAACAGUUUCCGCAGGACAAGGCCAAACUUUUGGAUUUAAAAAUGGUCGUCGAGAAUAAUAAUUCUAUAUUAAUUCUCGGACUGUUUGUGGGAGUCACUAACUCAUCGUAUUUAAUUAAGCCUUUGCAAUAUUUCAACAUGCUAUAAUUCAUUUUUAUACAUUAAUUUACAGUAAUAAUUAUUAUAAUGCCACAAGAGGGAUAGGACUCGUAAAUAUUGCAAUGGUACCAAACCAUCAACGCGUAGUUUUUAUUUGACCAGAAUAUUAACCUUACACAACAUGAAGAUGAUUAUUUCAAACUUUAUAACUCUUUUCUUUUCUUUUUUUAUUUGGCAUUGAUGUGUAGCUUUUAUUGGAAGUGGUCUUCUAUGUGCUAGCUAGCUAGCUCAAUGGCAACGACAUCGUACAUCAAUUUAAUACAUUAUGUUAUAUAUGUUUUACUUUUUAAGUCAUAAAUAGAACGUUUGAAUCUAAUGACAUAAAAUAUAACGUAAGAGGCAAUGCAUUAGGGCUCGUUCGAACAAUCAGGCAUUUGGUUGCGCAGUCGAAGUCGGAAAUUCACCCUAACGUCGUGUAUGGAUUAUGAUCAAGCUGAGACUGUGGUUCGCUGAACUCAACAUUGAUCGAUAAACCUGCACGAGCUCGAGUCGAACAACUCCUUAGCCGAACUAGUAUCUACUAAUUCUUACUUGCUCUGUUGUUUUUAUUUACUUGUUCUCUUUUUCUACGGUUUUUCUAUUUCGUCAUGGAAUUUUUUGCAACUUUACCUGUUCUAGACCGUUUCUGACGUACACGCUGAACUUCACCCAUUCUAGACCGUUUCUGACGUGCACACUGAGCCUCUCUGAGUUCCACAAUUUAAGAGCUAUUUAUUAUUAGCUGUUCAAUUCCAUGUGAUGGAUCUCAAUCAAUUAAAAAGCUGUAUACGUGUGUACGUAAUUCUCCAAGCUGGACAAUGCCUAGAAUUUAAGUUUCUACUUUUUGCUUUUUGAAUCUGAGAACUGAAAAUUUGCAGUCAAAUUAGUUGAAAGUGAAGUUAGGAAUAAAAACCCCUCAACCACUAUUGACAUUUUCAAAAACUACUGUAUUUUAAAUUUGCAAUACUCUUAUAGAGUAGUAUGCAGAUUUUAUUCAAUUAAUUUAGCUGAUGAAGCUGCGAGUUUCGUGUAAAAUAAAUGACUUCCCAAAUUAUUUGAUGAAAAAUUGAAAUGGACAUAAUUUUCUAAAUGAACAAAUAGCCUUCAUCAUGGGCCAAUUCAGUUCCAGUAACCUAAUUAAUCUCUUUGAAUUGUAUUAAAAAACAAUAGAUGAUCAAAAUGUUCAUAUCUACUUCUAUGAUUUUAAUAAAUUAAUAAUAAACUUGGCCAGUGACCUUUUAAAGAACGAGUCAAUUAGUUAUACUUAACACCAUACCUGGGUUUUAAAAAAAAUGAUAUAUAGGACACAUACAACAAAUUGAUAUUUUUUUAAUUUAAGAGACUACUAAUUAAUUAUAAAAGUUGAGCCUCAAGUACACUAAACCUGGCUUUGAAAACAUUAAACAUCGUUAUCGAUUAAUUAUAUGAUAGAAUAAAAGUUAAUAAUAGGUGCAUUAAAGACGAAGCCGGCCGAGUAGGUCAAAACUAGAUAGCUACAACUGAGAGUAAAAAAAAAAAAAAAAAAAGUUGCAACUUCGUCAAACAUGUUCAAGGUUUUCAAGGUCUAAGUUUUUGAUUGAUAUUUUGGACGGAUAUAUUAAUGGAACCAAUAAUAGGUCCCUAAAAUGAGGAUCUUAGCAUGCGUUUGAUCUAAUUUUUACUUCUAGUAUAAAUUAUAGCUGACUUUAAUAUAUACAAUCGCAAAUAGAAGUUUCUAGAUGUCCUUCAAUGACGAAAAAUUGAAAUAAGAAUUUAACCCACAUAUACAAAUGUAAAAACUUGGAGCUUCCAAAUAGAGGCUUUAAUUUUGAACUUCUGAUUCAUGCUCACAGAGAACAACACGUUCCACUAAUAAUAGUUCUUAAACAAUAUUUUACCGAAUAGCUCCAAACAUGCAUGCACUUAAUCGUCCACUUAUUAACAAGUUUAGCAUAAUCAAAUCCUUAUUAAGUUGAAAGGGCCAAAGAGAAGUUCGUUUGACAUAGCAGCUAUAUAUGGUCCUUCUUUCAUGGGAUUUUCAUAGCAUUUUAAAUUCAUAAUUCCAUGCUGGCAUUAUCCAAGAUUGAGUAAAAACAACAAAGACUACAUCAAAUAUAUAUAUAUAUAUAUACCCUACCUAUCAGGCUAUCACACACACAACCCCUCUAAAAUUUUAUUGCUUCAACAACACUUCACACUACCACCAGUCACAGGUCCAAACUACACAUUGCAAGAAACCGAAACUUCGAAGACUACGCAUGUUUGAGAUCGCGCGUGUCUGUGUCGUAUCGUGUCAUGUUGCGUUGAGAGAGAGAGAGAGAGAGAGAGCUGGAUUAAAGGGAGUUGUCCCACGCGGUCCAGUUUGCGGCGCUGCCGACUCGCGGCAUGGAGUUGACCUUAGAGUAUGUGUCGACCUUGAAAUUGGCGCCGCACAUCACGCCCUCGCUGUCGACCCUCGGCAUCGCCUUCAUCCGGUUCAUCGGGUGCUCGAAGCUCUUCAACCCGAACUCGCUGUGGAACAUGCACCCUGAUCCAACCAAAUCCCCAGGAUGAUGAGUUAGGACCGAUGAAGCCACAAUAUAUAUGAAUCCAACAGUGUUCUAGACCAUUUGAUGCCCAAAUGGAAGGACAAGAGAAGCAUUGCUAAUUAUGAAGUGAGCCCAUAGUUUAGUUAUAUAAUCAUGUUGUUUUACCCUACCACGGAAUCAAACAAUUCAGAUUACCAUAACACAACCUGCGUCUCGCUCAUCUUAAGUCGAGUUGUGGUGCUUUUGAUCAGGUUAUUCUAGAUUCAGAAUGUUUGGAUCAACUCGGAUACAACGGAAUUUAUAAUCAAAUUAAGUACACACAAUAUAUAUAAAUUUUAUUUCAAGUUUGUCGAAUCAAAUUACGUCGUGUUGGAUCGGACUUUUGUAGCCCAGCCCAAGUAAGGAAUGGGUUGUGGUGGCCCAACCAAAUUCGAGUACCAAACCCACAAAUCAAAACCCAAUUGGAGCAUCACCACUAUUAUGGGGCCACAUUUCCGAUGACAAUUACUUUAUAUUACAUGGCAUCAGAGCAUAAGGUCCUCAGUUUUAUAAUCCGAAUUCAAAAAAACACUUUUUUUGAAAUACUCACCAGUCGGAAAAGGGGCGUAGGACUUGCUGCAGCUGCCCUUUAUGAUGUCGCGGUCGUCGCAGAUCACCACCGACCCGUCGGCGGCAAUUCCCCAGUACAGCGGCACCCUUCCGUCCGAGCUCUGCAUCGUUUCAUUUUUCACAACACAAAACAAAAUGUACAUUUAGGCGCCAAUAUCUAAACUCAAAAAUUGUAGAAAAUUUUGGAAAAUUAAAUAUUUAAGACUUUGUAAGCAGCUAGACAAAAGCAAGAAAAAGAAUGUACCAGUGCGGCGAAGACGGUGCCGGCCUUGUUGUCGUAGACGACGAAGGCAAAGGAGCCGGAGAGGUCCUUCACGACCUGGUCGGCGGGGUAGGGCCCGCGGUCGCGCAGGGUGCGGUACGCCUCGAUGACGAGCAGCGCCUCGUUCGUCGACUUGCCGGACAGGCCGUACUGCCGGAUCAGGCUGCUCAGAUUGUGCAGGCUGCCCACGAACAUGCAGUAUAUCUCGUCGAAGCAGCAGAACAGUCUGUUUUUUUUAAAAAAAAAAAUUUGCCACAAUCUCAGUCUACACUCCACAUAUCUUAAAUUUAUGCUUGAUGAUGCUAACAUUAAUAUAGUUGCAUUUGAAGAGAGUUUAAAUUUACAAAUACUAAGGGCAUAUUUAAUUCAUAAUUAGAAUAUGAAUGAAAAAUAAAAUCGGAUUGCUUUGGAAUGAAAAAUAGAAUAAUGAAUCAUCUAAAAUAUUUGGUUCGUUAUUGAAAUAAAAAUCAAAUAAAAAUUCAGAAUUUUUUAAAGAGAAUUUUAAUUAAGAGAGAGAAAAAUGAUGAAGGGAGAGAAAGUAGGUGUUGGUGAAAGAGAAUUUGAAUGAUUUAUAUUGAAAUGGAUCAAUUCGGAAUUCAAGAUCGGAUUGGAUCAUAAAUGAAUUUGUUCAUUUCCAUUCUGAAGUGAAAUGAAAAUCGAAAUUCGAUUUCUAUAAAACAAAUAACAACUAUCAAAAUUAAUAAAUUUUAUUUUAAUUUCAUAGUUCAAAAUAGAUGAACUAAAGUUUUGUCCUAAAGGUUCACACGAGAGUCACGUGACAACAAAUGUUGCAGGAAUUAAUCAAAUUAGGACUUAGGAAGUACAUCUAGUUAUGAUUGGGAAUUUUAGGUAAUAAUGUUUAAGGUAAUGAUAUUGAACCUGCUAAAAUUAAAGCAUAUUCAGUGCUCACUCAACCAAAUCAUGCCAAUUAUGUUUGCGGGGUUUUAGAAAAAAAGAUGGGAUCCUUUUAUUUAAAGUAUAUAUUAUCAUAUUAUAAUAUAUAUAUAUAUAUAUAUAUAUAUAUGUUUACACCCAAAAUAUAAAAAAUAUUAAUUUUUAACGCGAUAAAUUUUAUACGAUUAAUUUUACGUGAUAUCUACAAUCUAACAUCAGCUCGCUUUUAAAACACAACAGCUUCAUCAUAAAUUCUUCGAAAAAAAAAGAAAGAAAAUAGUAAAUUUGAGAUGGUCCUAUGAAAAUUUGUGAUUAUUUGCACUUAUCUUAUAAGAGGAGGAUGAUUCCUAAAAAAAGCACAAUUUUUUAAAAAAAUUAUAAAAUCUACUGACUCUUACAGUUUUCUUUUUUUUUUUGGAAAAUUUUUUUUCAUAAAAUAUGUAAAAAAAUAAUUCACGGCAGAAAAAAAAAAUCAAACAGACAAAAAAUAUUUUUCUGGCAAGAGAAAUGUGUAAUUAUUUUUUACAAAAACAAACAACUCCUAAACAAUUGGAUGCAUAUAAAUUAGGGAUAAUAUUUAAUAUGUUCUUGAAAAUUUUAAAAAUAAUUUAUUCAUUCACAAAAGAAUAAAUUUAAAAUUUUUGAAUAGCACUAAGCGAUAAAUAAACAAAAGCUUCUAUAAGGAUUAAACUACUGGUCGGCAUGAAUCGUAUUUACCAUGCUAAAAAGAUAUCUAUAUAAUACAGCUUCCGUGCCGAUUGCAGAAUUCAAAAUUCUCUAUUUUUAAAGUUAAUAAAUAAUUUUUUAAUAAAAUUAAAAAAAUUAAUUAAAAAUAUAUAAUAAAUAAUUUAUAUAUUUUAUUGUUAAAAUACUAAAUAUUUUAUUAUAUUAUAUGUCGGCACAUAUAUAUAUAUACUUAUUGUGAUCAGCAAUGUACCGUAUAGUAUCGUGCCAGCAAAUUUUCAGCAUGAUUUCGUGUCAUGGUAUUUAAAUUUUUCCUGAUAAAUUAUAUUUACCUCUGGUGGGUGGAGGAGCUGCGGCCGCAGGGGCCGACGCAGGCGAGGGCGGCGCCGCCGCCGAAGGUGGCGGAGAAUGAGUCGGGCCUGCCGGACGGGAUAUUCGCCGCGUCGGCGGCUGGGCUGUUCAGCUCCUGAGGAGGGUGCGCAAACUGCUUGUGGAAUACAGCCAGCAUCUUCUAUACCUUUUUUUUUUAUAGAUGAUAAUUCUGUGCGCGCAAAUGCAAUAUCGACGGAUACAGAAAUAUUAUGAAAAACAAUUGGGAUGGAUAGAGGUGAUAUGAUGGAUGGGGAUGGAAGGUAUUUAUAGUGUGGAUAAUGUUGUGGUAAUUAAAAGGAAAUGGUAGUGUGUAUCAGUGUAUGUGUGUGGGCGACACUUUUUUUUAUUAUUUUUUAUUUUUACUUUAUGCUGUUGCUGCUGCACAUGACAAAUGGAUAUGGAGAUGGUGGAUAAGGAUCUACGAUUUUCCGCAACAAAACCUGGUUCCUGUCACCAAACGGUUAACUUACCUUUUGCAUUGGCUGUUCAAUUAGUCACAUAAAAAACAAUAUAUAUAUAUAUAUAUAUAUAUAUAUAUAUAUCAGAAAAAUACAGUCACAAUUUCAACCUACUUGAUUUGGAAUAGAUUGGAUGGAUGAAAUAGCAUUUUUUAAGAAAAUAAAUUAUAAUUUCGUCAUAUUUAAGUUGUACCGUACUUUUUGGUUGCCUUUUUGAUUUUGUAUUGUUUGUGAUGCUGACAAUAAUAAGCAACAUAACAAAAAAAACAUAAAAUAUAUAUAUAUAUAUAUAUUAUAUUAUAUAUUAUAUAUAAUAUAUACUAUAUAUAUAUAUAUUUAAUUUUUUAUAUAUAUAAAUUAUAGUAUUAUUUGAAGCUACAUUCUAAAUAAAUUUUACUGCGGCCAAAAAUUUAUAAAAAAUAAGUUUGUGGAUGUUCUUUUAAAUUCUGAAAUCUAUUCCCUACCAUAACCAAAAAAAAAAAACACAAAUUAAAAUUAAUAUAAUAUAUUUUUUAAUAAUUAUACAAAAAAAAAAAGAGAAAAUUGUGAGGGCGCUUCACCUCCCCGGGGCGGUGGGGAUAAGCAUGGUAGGUAAGGCUCGGGAGCGACGAAGUCGUUUGGAGCUUAUCCGGUGACGGUGAUCCACGUCAGCGCCAUCACCCCGCUGAAACGCUUGUGCUCAAUCCUCGGCAAAUGCCACGUCACCUCCGACACCCUACUUGUCCACCGUGGACAGCGCCUGUUGCGGGCCCCACGGGUGCUAUCCCUGGAAAACAACACUUUGCCAAAAAGAAAAAAAAAAAGAAAGGUCUAGAACAGUUAUGUUGCUGAUACGGUGGUUUCAACUACUACUUUUUUAUAUUUAUCUGUUAUAUUAUAAUUUAAAAUUUUAUUUUAUAUCUUAGAAAAAGAAGAUAUGUGAUUGUUUCGAUAUAGGUGAUAUGGUGCUCUGCUCUCCAACUACGUCUUGUUAAGCAACUUCAGUUCGUCGUCAUGUGUUACUUUUAUUUCUAUAAUCUUUCUAAAAUUUAAUUUUUUUAAUAUUUUAGUGCUAUAAUAAUUUAACGAAUUAUCGGAUGGCGGUAAAAACUAACAAAUGGCAACAAAUCACUUCUUUGGAGAGUUUUUCGAUAAAAUUUUAUUUUGUUAUGACAACAAUGCUACAUCAAAAAUAAAAUAAAAUAAAAUAAAACUGUAGUAUCAUAUCAUCUAUAUCCUCAGCUACCGUUUGGUUGGGAGUUAAGGGGUGGAAUAACCCCUUAACCCCCAAUUUAUACCCAAACACCACUCUUAAGGGGUGGGGUUAGUAAACCCCACCCCAAACCGGGUUAGUGGGGUUUACUAACCCCACUCUCCCUCCCAACUUUAACCCCGCACGCAUCCCGAGCCCUUACCUUUUUCUUCUUUAUCAAUCAUUAUUUUCUUAUCCCACCUACUCUAACCAAAUAUUUUUUUUCACUAUCCUAGGCUAACUCCAACCUCCAGCCAAACACAAAAAAAUUUUAACACCAUUUUAACCCUGAACUUAAUCCUAUCCCUGGAAUAGCUAUUUUUUCUUAACCCCGAACCAAACGGUGGCUCAAUAAAUAAAAUUUGUUUCUCAAAUUCAUCCAUCAUAUCAUAAUUUUUUUAACUAAAUUAUGAUACUUUCCUUUAAAAACAUAUCUGGUCUGCUUGAAGCACGGUGACACGAUACCACUACUAGUAGAAAACAAUCUCCUACUUCAGGGCCUGCAUUUUAGAUUGUAUACUUAAAUAUCUCUCUUUUAAGUAAUGGACCUGCAAUUAAUAAAAUUGACCAAAAUUUCUUAUCAAUUCAUUUUUUGAUAUAUAUAUAUAUAUAUAUAUAUAUAUAUAUAAUUUUGUUACUAUAUAUCAAUAAUAUCAAAUGCUUGGUACUAUUGAAGUUUCAACCGUUGGAUGAAAUGAUGUGCAGUUAGGAUGAUAGUGAUAUUCGAUUAAGUUAAUAAUGGUUCAUUAGGGUUGAGUGAGUGGUUGAUUGAAUAAUAUAAUUAAUCUAACAAAUAAAAAUGAUCAAAAAAUAAAUCUAACGGCAGAAAACUCGAUAGUGCCAAGAGCUUGAUACUAUCGAUAGUAAUAGUACUUAACUCCGCUCUCUCUCAUCCUCUCGAUAUCUCCUUCUCUCUCGCUCUCUCUCAUGCUCUCCUAUAAAUAUAUAUAUAUAUAUAUAUAUAUAUAUAUAUAUGCUACUUAGAUGUAUAGAGAGUUUCUCAAUAAAGACUCGUCCAAAACCUCUCCACUUAAGUUUAUAUCUUUUCUCAUCUAACCAAAAGUGAGUGUGCACCUUACAUCCUUGGUAUUUACGAUUCAAUUAUUUUUUUAAAAAACAAUAAUACUCUCUAUACAUCUUAUAAAUAGUUAAAAAUUUUACACUUAUAGUAUGUGAUCAAUAUUUAUUAAGAGGUUGUAAAAAAAGUCUCUAAUACCAUUCUAUUCCGUGACAAUAUGUACAGAAGACUAAUUAGUUGAGUUGGAUGAGUAUAAUAAGAUGAGUAGAGGUGUGGUCCAUAAGCAAUAAUAGAUCCAAUAUUCAGAUAGGUUGAGUCAGAUCAAAGUUGACGAGUGCUGUGGUUGAACCUUUAAAUGCGAUGGAUAUGCCUUUAUAAUCAGUACAUAUUUUUUGAAUAACUAAUUAGCACUUAUGAUCCAUUAUAUUAACCUACUUAUCUCUUCUUUUUUUUUUACCUAAAACUUCAAAAAGAAAUUGUACCAAUUAUUGGAUCUAACGGACGUUGCAUGUUUAUUUCUACAAAUUAAGGAUGUACAUAUAACAUCUUUUUAAAAAAGCUAUAUGUAUACCUAUAUAUAUAUUUAUACCUUAACUUAUUUAUUCUAGAAUUACAAGUUUUCUAAAAUUUGUAUUAGAAAAUGUAAUAAAAUUAGUGGAGAUAUGGUAGGCGCUGAACGAGCGACGUGCAUUUGGUGUAAUAUUACUGGUAAAAAUAACUUUGAUAUGGGUAAAAAUAUUUAUGGAAUUUUGUGGCGAUUUAUUAACCAAAGCAAAUUUAAACAAAAUAUAACAAAUAUGAAUAUGAAUAAUAUAUAAAGGUGCCUACACUAAUUAAGUGUCACUUACCAUAUCAUCAUCACCCUAAUAAAUUGUUAAUAAUGUGGCGGGAUAAGGAUAAGAGAGCCUCGUCCUACACACGUAAGCAUAGCUCGAGAUGGGCAGGGACAGGUUCCCAGAACUUUAAUUAUUAUUAUUAUUAUUAUAUUAAGUAUUAAUUUAUUCCCAUCACCAAACGUGACAGAUGUAGAAUCAGCACCAACUGUCACUUUACGCUGGGGCAACGUGUCUUUAACGAUGUAGAGGACCAAGGACGAGAUACAAAUACUGUACAUAUGUACGUAUUUAUUUAGAGCAGUAUUUGUUGCGCAUUCUUAGAUAUAUAUAGUUUGGUUGGAAAAUAAAUUGCUUUUGAUUAUUUCUGGUUCUGGAAUAAUUUUAUACCCCACUUAUCGUAAGCUUAUUAUUUUUCACUUAUUUUAUUAUUUUUUUAACUGAAUUUUUUAAAAGAAAUUUGUGGUUGUAGAGAGUAUUUUUUUAUUUGUUUAUACGGCGCAGACUUUAACAUUUCUCUUUACUUAGAUAUUUUACUAGUGUUAUGUUAUAGACAUCUUACUGUAUGUAUAUUCACUGCGCGCAAGGGGAUAUUUGGUUUUUUGAAAAAAGCCUAGAAAAUUUUUGUCUAAAAUAAUUUGUGAAAAUAUGCUUUUUUAUUGUUUUCAUUUUUUAGAAUAAAAAAAUAGAAAACGAAAACAAAACUUUUUCAUAAAUUUUGAAAAAAUAAUUUAGAAAAAUCACUUUUUUUAGAAACUAAAAAAUAUAUAUAAAAAAAUAUUUCUAAACAGAAAAUUUUUUUAGGAUAUUUCGCAGGAAGCCAAACACUUGCUUAGAAUCGAGGCUUGAAAUAAUGUGCUCUACCAAACAUAUCUAGCACGGAGUUCACUAAUAACUUGCUGGUUAAUACACGAAUCCUAUCGACUGUCCCUAACGCAAGUAGCAGUUGGUACCCGAGACCCAAAUUCGAAUCCUAGUUGAUUCACAUUUCCAGCUAAGUUUAUUUCUAAAUGAAAUAAAUAAAGUGGGUAGCAUGCUAUCUUCUCUCAAAAAAAAUAUAUGAUCCUAAGUUUUUUUUUGAAAAAAAAUAGCACGUUAUUUGUUUCAUUUAUUAAAAAAAUAAAUUAAGUUAUAGGAGCAAAAUAAGAGACCUCCAAACCGGAACCAAAAAAAAAAGAAAAAGAAUCACACAUAUUAGGGCUAUUAAAAUUAGGGGCUAAGAUUCGUUCACUUAAACAAGCUGAGCCAGCAAUCGUAUGAUUAAGUUGGCAGCUAGAAAAAGGUCAGCAAGAAUCAUCCUAAAAAUAAUGCCGUUCCUUACGGACCAAAUAACCCACUAACUGGCUGUCAAUCCGGUCGGUCUUUUUCACCAAACAGCUCUAAAUUUCAAGUUCAAAACAUUCAUAUUUUUAACUUGAGCUCAUUUCUAAAAAAUAAAUAAGUGCACAGCUAACUACCUUUCUCUCUCACUCUCUCUUCAAAAAAAAAAAAAAAAAAAGAAUUUUCUCUGCACAUUAGAUCUAGUUUUAUGUGUGUGUUUUUUAAAGCACCCACUUUUGAAAGAUGGAAUGCGCUUUCGAAUUUUCUAAUCUUCCAGAGAUGCACUGCUAAACUAGGACUUGGAACUUCUAAUGCAGGCACCUCGGGCGAGCCAAUCUAUAGAUAUAGGUUCUGAGUAGUAAAUACUUGAUCAACAAAUGCGCGUGCACACAUACCAAAAACUAGAGAAUAGUGAAUUAUUAUCCAAGAAGAGUUGAAAACUAGAGGUCUGUGGUUUGAUUCCCAAUUAGUUUUCUCGAGUUCCCAACCUGCUUCUCUAUUUUCUAUACAACACCAGUUCUAGAAAAAGUUCCAAACAGCAUUCCCCAAGUAUUCGAUUUACACAUGAUAACAUGUUUACAAGAGAAGUGUACUACUACGGGGGAAAAAAAACGAAAAAGAAAAAAGAAGAAAAGAAGGGUAGCUGCAUCUUAAUAAUCAAAAUGAAAAAGCAAGCUACCUAAGCACAAAUGGAAGAGGAGCAAUUCAAAGGAUCACCAGCAUGUUUGCAGUAACUUUUGGUAAGGUAGUUUUGAUUCGGAUAAACGUACAACUAGAAAAACAUGGCAAGUGAAGAGGCACAACAUGGAGGCUGCUAGGGUUUUGUUUAAGCCACCGUUACUGCCCCGUAAUCUCCAUUUAGAAACUUGUCUUCAGGAUAAUAUGUCGCGGUAACAACGUUUCCACCAAAUUUCCUUCCGUGAAGAGCCGCCUUUGCCCUAGCGGAGCCUGCGGCAUCCGCAUACUCCAAAAAUACCUGGAUAAACAUAACUAAAUUAGCAGACCCUUUUUCUAUACAUUAUAUGCUAAGAUCUUAGUCAGGUAGCCAAUACAAUGUCUUCUGAGUUGAUAAAAUGAAUAGGAGGGAGAGAAUUUGUGCUUACUUUUCCAAUUCCAGGAAUCAUCUCUCCUGCCGGACUAGGCCGAGGAAUAACAACAUUGACCAAUGCACCUGAAAUGAUUCAAGAAAAGGAAAAAAAACGAGUUAAUAUGGGACACGAAUGUUUUUGUUUCCCAAAAAAAAGGGAAAAAUUCACAUGCAGACAACAAAAUUGUGCACAAAUAGAAAGUGCUCUUACCAAACUUCCCACUCUCCUCUCUCAUAUCUUCUAAUAUCUCUUCAUAUUCUUCAUCAUCUUUCAGUUCAUCCAUAGAGACCACCUUAAAAAUCAUUCAGGGAUGGAGACAAUUAUAUAGUUAGGUAUACUUCUUACAAAGUAUGAAAUAUAGAGAACCUAGCAACCAGAACAGAGACACAAUUGAUACUGAAAACACCAGUAUGCAGAAGUUACCAAGAGGACCGAAACGGCCUUACUACUAUAUCAACAAAUGACACCAAGGGCGUGGUAAUGAUGUGCUUUACUAAUAGUUUAACACAUGAUAAUGCAAAAAUUUUCCCUCCGAAGGUUGAUGUGGAAAAUGGUAAAACAAAUGGGCGCGCUGAAUGUACCUCAGUCAAGCAGACAAUUUUAGUUGGAGGCGCUACAGAAAGCACCACUCCUGAUCCUGGAAAAGGUGGGCUCCCACCGAUCUGUAAAGCUAUUUUCUAUACACAGCAAUAUCUGAUCAGUUUAGAAAAGUGAAAAGAAAAAAAAAACAAAAUGAUGCCCAACAUUCCUUUAGGUGAUUCACACUACCUGCAUAGCUAUCUGUUGUUGCGCCUGUUGCAAAAUCAAUUCUUGCUCCGGUUUGAUGGGACCCAUACUGCAAUGAAAAUUAGUAACAUCGAUAAAAAUAAAAAAGAGUGAACAUGUAUGGGCCCCACCUAGUAAACUAUAAGUAAUUGGGAAACAGGUACCAGUACUUCUAAUGUUGGGUCUUGAACCCUCCGACUAACAUGUAGUUUGAUUUUAGAAAAUUACAUAAGAGCUUACACAUUCUAUGUAACUUUCUUGUUGUGCUACUUAACAGGGUAUUACCUAUUUUGACAAAUGGUCCGCGACUAAUAGAACUUUCUAUUACCCAACGGCCUAGUCUGUUAAGAUCCUUCUGAAGGAAGCCAUUCAAACGGUUUCCCAAAUUUUGUAAAGCCAACAGGUAUGGAGUUUAAAGACCAGUUCCAAAAGAACCAACAGGUAUGAAGUGUCGACAAGUUUUUGCCUAUGUUUAAACAUACACAUGACAUCAGUCACCAAGAGGACAUCUACAGUGAGCAGACAACACGAACCUAGCAGAAGCACGGCGUACAGUAAGUGUUCUGUCACCCAUUUUUAGGCCAUUAAGUGCAGCACAAGCAAUGUCAGUGACCGCUGGAUCCUGAAAAAUCAAGCAGGGUUUCAAAUAAAGAAAACAAGGCAAGAAUGAGGAUGAGAAAAAAGGAUGCCCAUCAAUUAUUAGUGGAUUUAUGUUACCUGAUAGACACAAAAACCAUAACCUUUGGAAUUCCCAGUCUCCCUAUCUUUAACUACGUCAAAUCCACGUAGAGGCCUGUCACAACAGUCAACAUGGAUACAUAAAGCAGGUUGUCAGAAUCAUACUUGACUAGCAAAACAUACGAAGAAACCGGUUGGAUGCGUACCCGAAGGAUUCUAGUAACUCCCGUAUCUGUGAAUCUGUGAAGAAGUGAGGCAGACCACCAACAAAUAUUCGAUCAGGUCCCUCUGAGCCACCACUGAUUGCCCUGAAUAGGAGAUGCAUAGUCAGCUCAUAAAAACCCAAAUACUACCACGAGUCCUAUAUUUGCCUAGACUAAAUACCAUACAGCUGUUCAAUAACAAGCACACAGGGCUUUCAAAAACUAAUGUUUCUGAAAGACAUAGACUUGAAUAUUUUCCCAGCAAGAUGGAUCAUAAUGUACGCACCCCGAUGUUAGGCCAACGGCAGCUAAGUUCAGAUGAGGACUUGGUUGGCUAGGUCCAAGCGUUGCUGCCAAAGAAGGGUUGUAGUCGGUAGGUCUUCGAACUCUCACUGCAACUCCCUAUCAAGAUGUCAAUAGUUAUUACAAAUUUAAUCUAAAGAAAAAAGUUCCAGCAGAAGCUUUCUUAACUAAAGUGACAAGCAACUAUCAGUUAACAUUUUCAGGUAUAUAUUUGCAGGCUUUCUCAAAAUUAUAUGGAUAACGGACAGGAAGUCUUCAAAGAUUUUGAAACAGCUAACAUACAUAAAACUCAUCAUAUCCCAAAUAACAUCUACAGGAACAAUUGAUGGCCACAAAACAGGACUUUGAAAUGAUACUUACCUCAAAUACUAUUCCAUCUAAUGCCAUUGCAUUACUUGCUUCUUCUACUGAUCUCAUUUCAACAAAAGCAAACUUCUUUUCAUGGUUGAUGUACACAUUGACAACAGCAUCACCUGAAACCAACCAUAUCAAUGGUUAGUCUGAACAUAUCUUGACUCCAACUAUCUAUAUCACAUGGAAAAACCAUACAUCAAAUGUUCAAUUUUCAAAUAUUUUUGUUUCAAUCCCGAAAUGCACUGCCUAUUCGGUAUCAAAUAUGGACAGAUAUAAAAAGAAAUAGUAGGUCUGCUUGUGGAACUUCUAGGUAAGAUACUUCUUACUGGCUACAGGCAAAAAAGAAAACAGAAAAGAUAAAAACAGAAGGAAAGGAGAAGGAAAAAGAAAGAAAGAAAGAAAGAAACCUGGUCCAGCAGUGUUUCCUCCAAUAGCAGUCAUGACCUGGCUGAAGAAUGCAGAAAUUGUCUGUUUAGAAGGCAAAAGUAAGAUUUAUUAGCAGUCAUAUUAAAACUAGCAAGUAGAGGCCAUGCUGGCAGUGAAUUAUUCAAUUUAUCAANUAAAAAAAAAAAAAAAAAAAACGUGAUCAGCAGAAGUAACGUGUAGCCAAAAACUAUGACCACCUUAGAACCAAUUAAAGGAGCAACUUCCAACAUAAACAGAGGAAGAAAGCGGGCUUUUUAACUUUUGAUGAUCACAGUUUGCAGGGUCAUCUUGCUAAUUAGUUUCUCUAGCAUGACAUUCAUUAUGAUACUAGAAGAAAUUCAGCCAAUGCACGUGAUUGACUUCAAAGAUUUGAAUACAAAAAUAUGAGUAAAAAUGUAAUAAUAUUUCUAGAAAGACUUGAAUAAUUCUGCUGGCUUUCGUCUAACAAAUGGAGAACUUAAAUAGUAUAGAACUCCUGAUAAUGUGCAGGAAAAAAUCAAAGAAGAUAUAACAAGUUAAUAAUAGACUUGAAUCACAUGUACAAGUGAAUGACAUUAGAAGAGAUAUAAUUUGCUUUUUAAUUCCACUUUUAAUCUGGUGUAGAUAAGCCAAAAGCAACCAAUGAAAACAGAAAUCAACUAGAGACACCACCUGUUCAUUUGACAUGGGUGGAAGGCCUCCAACAUAGACACGCCGUGCAUGCCUCGUUGCCUAAAAGAAAGAGGUGAGGAAAAGUUCAAUGUCCAUUCAUGCCAAAAAGGUUAAAUCAAAAUGUGAACAAGCUUUAGCAUACCUGCUGGUUAAUUGCUUGUGCUGGUAGCAAUGAUAUCGCUGCAAACUGUGAUCGAUAAUAAAGUGCGGCAGAUCAGGCACAGCACAACAAAAAAGUGAAGGGUAUGUACGAAGUGAAAGUAAGUCUUUUUCAGUACCUGUUGAGGUGCUGCAAGAGGUGAGAUAGCUGGAAAAACUCCAGCCACAGUUUGAGGAAUCACAGGAGAUUGUCCUACAAAAUGGAGUGAACAGAAUAGUCAAUGAGUUGAGUAGGACGAUAAGUUAAUUCCAAAACUUGUAGCAAAUUAUUCAAACUAACAAAGGACUUCUCAUGUCAUGACAUAUGAGAUGAAAGCAUAUAUAUAUAUAGAAGCACUAGAAUAUGCAAAAUAAGUACAUCAUUCUAGCUUCUGAGAAUAUUUUUGCAAGUCUACCAAAUGCCAACAGUUUUUGGUUGAAAGUUGAAGAAGCUCCAGCAGACCACUUGAAUAGUUUCCUCGUUGAACACAGACUCUACAGUGGCGUAGCACCGUGGUCGUGCACUCCAACAUUGCCUUCUUACCCAUACGUAAACAUAGUCACAAACAGAACAACAACACAACAGCCAACAACACAACAAUCUUCCUCAGUUUCCAUACAAAAUCAUUUUAUAGAAAGAAUAUGCGAAAAAAAAGAAGUAAAUUACAGUAUCUUACAGACAGUAGUAAGCAUAAGCAUGCUUAAGUGGAAAACUGUAGUAAAAGCACUGGUCUUCUAGAGCGAAAGGAAAAGUUAAUUCAAAGAGUUCAUUCUGACCUGUAAUUGUAACACUAGGCAGCGCAGGGGUAACAGCAGGACCCAUGUCAAAGCCGCUUGCUCUUUUGCUGUAAAAGAAAAUUAAGUAGUUCGCCCGAAAUCAAGUAUAUACAAAAAUCACCUAAGACAUGUCAAGCACUUUUGUGUAGUGAAUUACAACAACAAAAUAGAUGCAAACCUAACUUUACAUUUAGCUUUCUCAAAGUUUGCAAACCAUGGUUUUGGUACUUCCAACAGAUUAUCCUUCAUAUUUUAUGACUACUACUGCAAUAAAAAAGAUUCAAUUUCCAUGGUAAACCUAAUCAUUCCCAUGAAAAGAAAAGGGCAGCGAAGACUCCACAAAAUAGUUAUGUGGAAACUUAAGGCCAAAACACCCAAAAAAAGUCAAAAAGAUCAACACAAAUCAGCAACCAUGGUUUCAUCGGUGAAUCUCCAAAUCAUUAAAUAAAGUUGCCAAGGAAGAGGAUGAAGUAAUUUACCUUUUAGAAGGAGAACGAGAGCGGGAUUGAAAUCGCUUUCCCAACCUAUCCUUCGAACGAGACCGUGAUCUAUGUCUACGCAUUCUACCCCUUUCAUAAUUGUGAUUCCGCCUGAAGGCAAAGAAGGCAGUCGUACACUUUAUACAAAUGUUAUUGGACAAAUGAAGGCUUAAGAUAAAAAGAUGUCAUAAGAAAAACUGUGAGGCAUUGAAGCACGACAAGGAGACUACAAUUAAGUUCUCAGCGUCAACAAAAUAGAAAUGCAUAAUAUUUGAAGCACAUCAAGGUGAAUAACAUCACAUAAUAUUGUAUGCUAACUAAUCAGGACUAUAUUAUUGGAUAUCAUGCUUCCACCGCUUACUUUCACCAAAGCUUACCGGUCGAAAUCACGACCCCUUCGGGAAUCAUAUUUAUCACCUUCCUCUUUUCCUCUCAGAUUCUUAGAGCUUCUCUCUAUGUGAUGCUCUUCGUGGUGCCGAUCCCGAUGUCUUUCCCUACCCUGAUCUGUUACCUUAUCUCGACCGCGAUCUCUUGCCUUAUUCCUACUCAGAUCCAUGUCUCUCUCGCGAACUUUCUCUCUUUCCAUACUUCGAUCUCUCUCCUUCGUAUGUAAAAUUUUCUAGCGUAGUUACAAAUGAGUUGUUCUGAAACCAAAAGCGAAUAGUUUAGAAUGAGAAACUCAAACAGGCCAUGAAAAAUUAAAUUUUUAAAAAGAACAUAGAGUAAUUUUAAUAAGCUCAUAGAAAAUAACUACUAGGUAAGAGAUUCUCGUAGUCAAUUUAACAUCUUAUUUCAGUAAAAGCACAAUUUUCCUUUUCCUCCGUAAAAUUGUACUUGAUUCAUAGAGAAGCCACGCACACGAACCAAUCCAACUCACAACAAGAAGAAACCUUUGUUUCUCGAUCUAAUCGAUCUGAUCCAGAGCUAAUCAACAGUGUGGCUUAUGAGAUCAAAAACUACGCAUUUUUUACACCAUUUGCUCUAAAAUUUUGAUCGAAAGGGCAAACCCUAGGUAGAAAAUAAGCAUGAGAAAAAUUGGGGAAAAAUUUAAUACAAAACAAAGGGGAAAGGGAGAAGGAUCGACCUCGCGAUGGGUGUAGGCGCCUCCACUGCCGCGGCGAAUGCGCCCUCUUUCUCGCAAUGCGCUACAAAUAAGGGACGCGCAUAAGGAAAAAUAUGCGUGUCGUAUACUCGUAUGGUAUUAAAAAAAAACGUAGUUUUUGCGUAUUUAUUUUAUUUAUCCUUGUAUAAAGUAUGUAUAAUGUAUGUGUUACUUCGUAUAAAAGUUUUUUUUUUUUUGGUUAUUCUUACAAAGUUGAGUUUUACCUGUAAUAUCAUCACUACCUCUCUUAUCCUAUAGUAGGAUUUUGGAAUUAAUAAUAACAAAUAUAUCCUUGUAGAUAAUAAUCUGUUUAGAUGGUAUUAGGUUCCUUGAAAAAGUAUUAUAAAAAUUUAUUUUGAGAAAACAAAUUUUGUGAAUUUUUUUGGGUUUUUAAUCCGUUUGGAUGCAAAAAAGAGCUAUUUUUCAAAAAAAAAAAAUCAAAUUUCAUGAAAAAUUACUAUAUGUAUUUUUUUUUAUUUUUUUAGAAAAAUGAAAAACUAGUUUUUCAUUAAAUUUGGGAAAAAAGGUUUUCAAAAAGGCUAAUUUUUUUAAAACCAAACAAACGAAAAAUUAAGAAAAAAAAUCAUAAAAUAUUUUUUUCUCAAAUUGUUUUCGUAUUUUUCUGAGUAAACAAACAAUGCCUUAAUAACUUAACAAUUUUGAAAUACCACACCCUCGCACAAGUGCUAAAGGGUUUGAGGGUUGGAAUUUGAUGUUCCAAAUUCGAAGUCUAAGAUUGUAUAUUAAAUUUAUUUCUAAAAAAAAAAACGAAACGUACAAUAUAUUAUCUUUAUCUCAGUUUUGAAAUAUUACUUUUAUCCCCAUAUAUUAUUAUCUGUCGUGAUUGUUUUAAAAUAAAUAAAAAAUUAAAUUCUUAUGAAAUAAGUCAAAAAAAUGUGCCUUUUCUUCUUUUUGUUUGUGGGAUAAAAUAUUGGUGGUUUAGAUCUAAAGAAAAUUUUAGCUGUGAUUAAAUAUAUGGUGCGAUUGUGAAUAGAGAAAUGCUACUUUUGCAUUUAAAAUUUUGGUGCAAAUUUUACACCUAUUCAUCCAAGAUUUAGGCACCUUAUUUAAAAUUUUAAUAUUUAAAAAUUUAAAAAAUCUAGUGUGGAAAUAAAAAUCACUUUUUGAAAGAGAGCGUGUAAGAUUCACACUCACUUUUGUUGUAUAUAGUUGGAAACAGGUUUGCGUGCGUUCGGGCCCAGCCCGUGUGGGCUGGUUUAUGAGCCCAGCCCACGGUUGCCAGUCGAGUGCGUAGCAGGGCUCACCCAAGGCACAAUAAGGAGUGCAGUUUAUAAAAAAAUAAAAAAUAAAAAAAACUGAAGUAAAAGUUUAUUAAAAAAAAUAAAGAAAAGAAAAUUUGAAGCAUAUUUUGCUCCUGUUUUUUUUCUUUUUUUUUUUUCUUUUUAAGGCUCUUAAUGUGAUGGUAUAUACACGUUCACAUGAUGAGUACCAUGCCUUAGUUCAUGUAUACGUAUAAUUGAUUGCAUGAUACCGACCGUCUCUAGAGCAAGUGAUAAAAAGCUUGGUAGUUGGUAUCCGAGAUCCGAGUUCGAAUUCUAGUUGAUUUAUAUUUUCAGCUAAGUUUAUUUCUAGAUGAAAUGAAUGAAGCAGGUAGUGUGCUAACUUAUCUCUCUCUCUAAAAAAAAAAAAAGAAAAAAAGAAAAAAGAGAGAUUGCAUGAUUAUUUAUAUAUGCUGAAUUCAGUACGAUUUUUUAAAUUAUUUUUUCUUUUAAAUGGUAUAAAAUAGGUCCACUCCUGUCUUUGGCUCAUGGAACUGCGUGGCUCAGGGUGGGCGAACACAGAUCACGAGGAGGGAAAAUCCAGCGAGAUUUCACAACGAAAACAGACAGGGACCGGUUAAACAGGUCGGUAAUUACGAAGCGCACGGUCUUCGGUGAUCGCUGCUCGGGGCCAUGCCAGCAAAUCGCUCUGCCAGCUGUCGUCCGGUUUCGUCGCCGCUGUGCCACGUGAGGCAGGGAAUGGCAUCAUCGCACAGACGUGAAGGCAGAAAGGACUCAGAUCUGCUGCGGCUUUUCUCUCUCAACGCGUUGCAGGAGUACUAGUGCGGCCGCAUGAGCUCGUAUUAUUAGUACCCUGAUGAUAACUGACUGGGCUUAAAUAAAAUGUACGAUUUGAAUAAGUUCCUGAUGCCCGGCUCUCUCUGAUUAGAACGUUUUCGGUCCAGCGAUGGAGGAAUUCUAUACUAUCACACUUGCACCAUGUUAUCAAUAAUAAGUCAAUUAUAUUUUUUAUUUUUAAAUAAAAAUAUAAUAAAAAUAUUUUUUUACAAUCAUGAUGAAACAUAUAUUCUUAAAAAGAUUAAUUUAAUUAGUUUAUUACGCCACAUCACAAGUAUAUCCGUUGCAUUCUAGAAUUUUUCCGGGCUAUGGGGUAGGAAGCUGGCCACAUCGCAGAUCUACUUGAGGGCACUUUAGGGCCUGUUUGUUUCAACGUAAGUAGACUUGGAGUGAAAGUGGACUUUGGGUUGAAGUAGAGUUGGGGUGAAAAUUAGUUCACUUCUGCUGUUUGUUUCUAACUGUGGAAGUGCAGUUCUGCGAGUUCUGUUGUUUGUUUGGUAGGAAGUAGAUGACGUAAAAAGUGUAGCUCUUCACCCCCGGUAUACUUACCUCCGAUAUGAUAUUAUUGUCUAUUUUGUAACUUAUAGUGAAUAAUAAAUUAUAAUAAAUAAAAAUUAAUAUAAUUAUAUAUAUAUAUAUAUAUANUUUUCAUCAUUUUCUAAAUAUACAUAUUAAACAAAAAAUAUAUUAAAACUUACCUAACUAAAUUUGAUCAUAUUUUAGAUAUACAAUCAAAAUAAAAAUUUUAAUUACUUCCAUAAUUGAAUAUAUUUGGAUGAAAGGGUAGAGAAGAGGUAACCCUAACACAUUAAUCCCACUCUUGCCUUUUUUUCACUUCACCGGAAUUGACUUCGCCCCGUGAGAGGGCGAAAUCAAUUUCAUUAUUUUGGGUGAACUGGACUUUCGGGCGUAAUAAAAUUACGGUGAACCAAACAACGAAAGUGGAUAGUUUUCACCGAAAAUUACUUUCCCCUUCCCACUUCCACCUCACUUUCGUGCAAACAAACAUGCCCUUAGUGUGUCCUUCUUUAUGGCUUUUUUGGCGACCUUUUUGUACGGAAAGUGUGGAAUUGUUUGCGUUCUAGCUUUUGGAUACCACAAAAGGCGCACAACACCAAACAGCACCCAGCAACCGGAACUAGCACAAGAAGACUAAACAUUUCGCCUCCGUCUUCUGCGUUUUAAUUUUUUUUACGAUAGAUUAAAACAACCAGAAAAGUUUUAUUAGCGAACAAAUUAUAUUUCUGUUUUUGCAAGCAACAGGACACCAACCAGGUACUUGAUAAUGCACAUGAACACGAACCUUACAUUACGAUCACCGAUGACAAAUACUUAUACACGCAACGAAAUAAAAGGAAUAAAAAAAAAAGAACACCAGCAGCAACUACAAUAAAAGAUCUCAAAAACAAUGACCAGUUCCACACAUUCGCUACAUAUAUAUAUAUAUAUAUAUAUAUAUAUAUAUAUAUAAAUAAAAGAAAGAAAUAAACAUACGGUAAAAACACGAUUAUACACAAAAACUUUCUUAAAAUCUCAAACGAGAGCGUUUUAACUCUCAGAAGCCGCGUCUACGAUCUAACAAUAGCUAUUACGACUAGUGCUGCUGCUGCUACUCGCCUUCGGGCAAGGGCUGGUGCUGAAUCUGCCCCCGGAAGACUCUAAGCAUGUCGGCGAAGCGGACGAUGCCGACGAGGGCGUAGUCGUCGUCGUCGUCGACGACCCACACGUAGCUCACGCGGUGCGCCAGCGCCUGGAUCAUCACCGCCACGAGCGAGCUCCGCGGGUGGCACACGAUCGCCUCCUCCGAUCGCCGGCCCAUCCUGGCCGAGUAGCUGCCCAUCGACCUCGCCCGUCUCGGCUUCGUCGGGGGCGGAGAGGGUUCAUCGUCAUCGUCGGAGGAGGACGAGGCGGAGGAGGCGGAGGAGGAGGAGGAGGAGGAGAAGGGAGGGGGGACGUCGGGGUCGAGGAGGUCGAGCAUGCCGAGGAGGCCGGCGUCGGCGAGGCGGUAUUUGACGGCGCGGAGGGUGGACUCGGGCGGGGCGCCGAAGCAGUCGAGGAAGGACAUGAGGUCGCCGGCGGAGAGGACGGCGAGGGCGGCGGCGGCGGACUCGUCGGCGCAGUGGACGAGGGUGGAGGGGGAGAUCUCGCCGAUGAGGCGGCGCCCGUCGUCGGCGAGCACGGCGACGGAGGUUUGCUCGGCGAGGGCGGCGCGGAGGAGGGGGACGGCGGAGAGGGCGGGGUCGUAGUGGCGCACGGCGAGGGACGCGGGGCGCACGACGCCGAGCGCGGACACGGAGAGCGCCGCGGCCGGGGAGAAGAGCGCGAUGGAGCUGAGGAAGAAGCGCACGAAGUCCUCAGGGGUCAGCCAGCAAAACUCCGGCGAGGCGGCGGCGGAGGGCUUCUUCCUCGCGGCGGCGGAGGCGGAGCGGAUAGGAACGACGAGGCUCUGCGCCCCGUCCAAGAUCGCGUCCAGAGAUUCCAAUAAGCUGUAAAAUCCCAAAAUCAGAGCUCUAAUUAGCAUUUCAAACAAACACGUCGAGGAGAUGAUAUCAAUGCAAUCAAACAAAAAAUCGGUAAAAAAAUAUAGCAAAAAAUUCAGGAAAAAAGGGGAAAAACUAUAGAAUCAGGUAGUCCUGAGCAAAUUGAUGAUGGACCGAAAGAAAGGAAAAAAAAAAAAAUCCGAGAAAAGAGAGGAUCGAAACAACAAGAGAACGAAUCGAGCCAACGAUCGUCCUAAUUGUAGCAACGACGAUCUAAGAGGGGAAAGAGCGGUUGCGAACCUGGAAUGGGGCUCGACGCGGCGGACGAGGGCGGGGCCCUUAGGGAUGAGGGCGGAGACGGGCUUGUCGAGGGCGGCGGCGGGGGAGGCGAUGUUAUCCUCGGCGCAGAGGAAGCAGAGGACAUCCACCAUGCACACCUUCCCGGCGAAGGCCCCGCGCUCCGGCGAGGCCCAGACGCCGAGGAACGCGUCGCCGCCUCUCUUCAGCGCGGCGAGCGCCUCUCCCACGGCGGCGCUCGGCGGGAGCGAUCUCAGCGGCGGCUUCCCGAUGCAGAGGUCCGACACCUCAUGAGACUGCAGGAGGCUCACUGCCAUGCACUCGCGGGGAACCCUAGGAACGGAUCUCGGGCGAAACCCUAGAAAAUAUGGGAGGAAGAGGAAGAAGAAGAGGAGGGUGCGGGGUAGGGUUGGGUUUAGGUUUUGGGUUUGAUCUUCCACCGGAGAAUGAGAUGGGGGAGUAAACUCCCGCUCGUGUUAAGGCGGUGGAGAAACGAAAAGGGAGCGUGGGGUGGCUUAUAUAGGGCGUGGUGACGGGCUUUACCGGUGGAAGGGUCAAAAUAUAGGCUACACCCGGUAUUUGUGAUCAAUUAUUAUUUCCGAGACCACGAAACUGCUGAAAAACUAUAUUAUAUAAUAUACGAUAAAAAAAAAAUUAAUACAAAAUUAUUUUACAUUUUCGUAAAUAAUAUUAUAAUAAAUUAUUUACCAUAUAUUUUUUAUAAUUUUGAAGAAAAAUAUAUAUUUCUAUAUAUUUUAACAUUAAUUCUAUUUUUUUUAAAUUUCAAUACUAAAUUGAUACAGAGUAAUUCCUUGUUGCUAUUUUAGUAUACAUAUUUUUUUUUUGCAUUCCAACUUCAUCAUCGGUCCUAGUAAAAAAAAAAAAAAAUUUUAUGAGAUCAAUUUCAAAUUAAAAUAGUCUAAGCAUAUACGACUAAUUAUGUAUACAAAAUAAUAACAAGCAAAAACUGCACACAAAAUUAUGUCUUAAACCAAAUUUAAAAAUUGAUCUAAUUCCUCUUAAUAUCGCUAUCCCAAGUGUUGUGGUGCAUGGUGAACCGGGUGCACGGAGGUGCUCCUCGGGCGGGAUGGGGGCGGCGAAUCCGGGUAAUGACCGGUACGUGGCACGGGCGAUAGGCGGUAGCGCGACGGGUGUACAAUUAUACAUAGGCGGGGGAAACGGCCUGCGCCGGUCGCAUCUCCCCUAUUCUCGGGAGCCCAAAAGGAAAGGAAAUAAAUAAAUAAAUAAAGGAAUAUACGAAUAUUGUGAUGGUGAACCCGUUAACUCCGGUGCACAGCUAAGACCAUGCGAUUGGAUCCACAUCAUCAUAGAAUUAUAAUAUCCCGUUAUGGUUCUUUAUUUAGUCCCUUUUUUGUUUUUUGGUGUGGACAUUUUACAUUUUAAAUAUUUAAAAGUUUCAGUUUAUUUGUCUUAUAUAAUUUUAAAUUUAAAUUUUUUUAAUGAUCAGAAACUAAAAUUGUGUGAAAAUUUAAAAACUAAAUUAUUUUGAUGAGAAUAGUGUACAGGAACUCUAUCCGUACAUUUUACCCAUUGAGAUUGAGUAAUCCUAAUUUAAUCACAAUGUAUAUUAGUUUAAUCAUUACCUUUUUUUUUAUAGGCUAAAUUUGGAGCUUAUUUUAUUUAUGUUUUUUUUUGGUCAUUAAAAAAAUUUGAAAUCUCUAUGUAAUAACCUGGUAAAGCGAUUUUUUUUUAAUUACUUUAAGGUAAUGAUUAAACUAAUAUACAUUGUGAUUAAAUUAGGAUUACUCAAUCUCAAUGGGUAAAAUGUACGGAUAGAGUUCCUGUACACUAUUCUCAUCAAAAUAAUUUAGUUUUUAAAUUUUCACACAAUUUUAGUUUCUGAUCAUUAAAAAAAUUUAAAUUUAAAAUUAUAUAAGACAAAUAAACUGAAACUUUUAAAUAUUUAAAAUGUAAAAUGUCCACACCAAAAAACAAAAAAGGGACUAAAUAAAGAACCAUAACGGGAUAUUAUAAUUCUAUGAUGAUGUGGAUCCAAUCGCAUGGUCUUAGCUGUGCACCGGAGUUAACGGGUUCACCAUCACAAUAUUCGUAUAUUCCUUUAUUUAUUUAUUUAUUUCCUUUCCUUUUGGGCUCCCGAGAAUAGGGGAGAUGCGACCGGCGCAGGCCGUUUCCCCCGCCUAUGUAUAAUUGUACACCCGUCGCGCUACCGCCUAUCGCCCGUGCCACGUACCGGUCAUUACCCGGAUUCGCCGCCCCCAUCCCGCCCGAGGAGCACCUCCGUGCACCCGGUUCACCAUGCACCACAACACUUGGGAUAGCGAUAUUAAGAGGAAUUAGAUCAAUUUUUAAAUUUGGUUUAAGACAUAAUUUUGUGUGCAGUUUUUGCUUGUUAUUAUUUUGUAUACAUAAUUAGUCGUAUAUGCUUAGACUAUUUUAAUUUGAAAUNCAUGUCUGCGUAUAAUCCGUACUUUCCCACUUUUCCACCUUUAACGAUUUCAUGCCUUAUUUUACACAUUCUACAAAGCAGCUAGGGUUACGAUCAAUAUAUAUAUAUAUAUAUAUAUAUAUAUAUAUAUAUAUAUAUAUAUAUAUAUAUAUAUAUAUAUAUAUUGACUCGAUGUGUGUGGAGGACACUAUUAUAUAUGUAAUUUAGAGGAGAGUAUAUUCAUGUUAUUAUUUUGUGUAAAAACCAAGAGUUAUGCUUCUAGGUACGUAACGAAUAUUAAUAAAAAAAUUAUUUUAUAUUUCACGUGCUUUAAUGGAGAGUAAAUUACGGAGCUUAUCGGAGGUGGGAACACUAAGACCGGGUCAAAGGUUCCUGGGCUCAAUUCAAUGACCCAAUCGAUUACGCUCGCAUGCGGACUCGUCCCCACGGCCUAUCCAUAAGAAUGGUCCACAAUGUACGGCGCCUAUAAGCUUCGGAUCAAAAUUAUGCGCCUCUCCAUUAUCUCUCUUAUUACGCGUGGGAUAAAAAAUAAUAUUUACCUUUUCAAUUUUUCUAUUUAAAUUUGGUUUCAAACACAUAAAAUUAGAAAAAACGUCAUGUACCAUCAUUAAAAAGUGUUAAAUACUGGUUCAAAAAAGAUGUAGAAUGAAUUAAGAAAUAAAUUUUUAUUGAAACAUCUAAAUAAAUUUAUUUAUCGUCCAAAAAAUAUCUUUUUCUCGUGUUCGUAAUUAUUAAUUAAGAGCCGUAGAAAGAGAUAUUGGGACGAAAAUUCUACCAAUCUGAUUUUAUUCGCAUACCUAAGUUUAUAGAUACACGUAAAGAUAUCACUAGUACAUAUGUGAAUGAUCAUGAAUAUUAGUACGUAAAUUAUAUAAUAUUUUUAACAUUCGAGUAGCGCAAUACAUUACAAAAUAAUAAAGAUUUAGCUUAACAAGAUUUAACUGGUUAAGAAAUGAACCCACUAUGGCAUUUUUAUUUCUUAAAUAAAUUUUAAAAUAAUCAACUUUUUUUUGGCUAUUCGUAGUAAGGAAUCCGAGUUGUCUCAAAAACAGCUUUUUAAUUCUUAUAUAUAUAUAUAUAUAUAUAUAUAUAUAUAGAGNNNNNNNNNNNNNNNNNNNNNNNNNNNNNNNNNNNNNNNNNNNNNNNNNNNNNNNNNNNNNNNNNNNNNNNNNNNNNNNNNNNNNNNNNNNNNNNNNNNNNNNNNNNNNNNNNNNNNNNNNNNNNNNNNNAAAAUUUGAUAACAAAAAAAACGUUUUACUAUUAAUAGUAUUCCAGCAUAAUUAUAUAUAUAUAUAUAUAUAUAUAUAUAUUUACUCUGUAUAUUAUUUAUAUUAUAUAUUUAUAUAAGCGCGUGGGGUGGGCGAGCGUCGCACGUUGUGAAACGGAGAAAAAGGCGCGAAAAGCAGCCACCUGUGGGACCCACCAAACCCAAAGCCACCAAUGGAAAUGCUUAGAAUUUCUUUGACCAGAAUAGUCAAAUAUGAAGUCAAUCUACUAUUUAAUGAGGCACCUGUCACUUACACACUGAUAAUUUUUUUUUUAAUUCUUAUUGUAUUUUUGCCAUAAAAUAUUGAUAUUUAUAAUGCUAUUUUUGGAGGAUUAAAUUUGAUUCUAUAAAUUUAAUUAAAUUAAGUUAAUAAAUAAUGAUUAGAUGCAAUGAAUUUAUUAGUUAGUGUCAAAAUCAGUCGCCGAUAUGUUUAUAGCUAGAUCGUUGAUAAAAAAUUUUGAUUUAUCUUAUGCAAAAAUAUAGAAGUGUCGAAUAAGUAUCAAAUGUGAUAAUAAGGCAUGUAUACUAUUCUUUUACUUGCAAGUGAAGCCACGAAUCAGCUUUACCUUUGAAAGUUUGAAAAGUUGAAAAAAAACUGUAAGAAAAUACUUGCGGUGUUCAUCCAUUGAGAUUUCGCCCAUCAGAAAAAAAAAAAAAAAAGAAGAAAAGAAAAUGAUAAGCAUGUGUUAUAUGACCAUAUGAGAAGGGUUUAUUAUAUUAUUACCUUAAUCAAUAUUUUCAAUUCAACUAUCCAGUACAUUGUAUACAAUAUAAUUUCUAACUAAAAAAAGUGGUGUAAUGUAUUUAUAUAAUAUUUUUGAUAACUUAAUUUCUAUCAAUCAAAUUUUACUUUUACCUAUAGUCAAAUUACUAUUUAAACUCAUGAACUCAAAAUGUCUCUUUCUAGGUAACAAAAUAGUAAUAAAAAAAGUAUUUUACAUUUCACGUGCUUUUUUUUUUUGAGUAAACAGGGAUUUAUCCUAUUUGUGUUACAAGUUGAGGGGUGUACAGAUGCGACCAAGUUGUCGUGAGGCUUUAAGCCGACAGAUACAACGAUAAACAUGCGACAUUUCACGUGCUUUAAAGACGAGUAUUUUCUCUCUCUUCCCCAUGUGAUCAUCUAAGAGACACCUCCGCUUUAAUUUGAAAUAUUUGUCAGAGUUUUGAACCAUUAAUACUGAGAAUCUCGAACUACACUGUAUGGAUGUUAUACGAAAAAAUCCAAAUAGUGCAAGAGUGUGUGACACUCUAUAAACAAACAUAGCAAUAUAACAAAUUGCUUAUCAUUCUAAUAAUAAAUCCAAAACGACCUUUGUAGCUCGGCAACCUACCUUAGCAAUUAUGUCUUGUGAGGUCCCAACAUCUUGUGGACGUGAGCGUUUACAGAUCCGAAACUCUCGCUAAAGAAAAAGAGAUAGAGACCGACCGUCUCCGGAGCAAGUGACAAAAGACUUGGUAAUUAAUAUCCGAGACCCAAAUUUGAAUCCUCGUUGAUUCAUAUUUUCAGCUAAAUUUAUUUCUAAAUGAAAUAAAUGAAACGAAUAGCGUGCUAUCUAUCUCUCAAAAAAGAAAAAGAAAAAAAAAAAAGAUAGAGGAGACAAAGGGGCGCAAAUUUUUUACAGUCUCAUGUAAAAGGACUAUUUUACUGCUCAUUAAAAUGUGGAGUGGAUCUCAAUCAAUAUAUCUACUUUUAUGCCAGCUACCGAUCUUUAUUAUUGGUUGAGAUCAGAGGGUCGAAUUAUUUUGUACAUAAAAAUUUUGUGCACAUAAAGAUGGGUAAAAUUUAUGAAUAAUUACCUAUAUAUCUCUCCAAACUUUACAAAUAUCUAUCAUAUCUACCACAGUUAAAAAAAAUUAAAAUAUCAAUUUUGCCCUUUAUUUAAGGGUAAAUAAAAAAUAUUGGUGACGGCAGAGGGGUCUAUUUGAAAUGACCAAAAGUCAAAAUACUAUUUGUGCCCCUGACUUAAGGGCAAAUAAAAAAAGCCGGUGAUUAUGGAAGGAUAUAUUUAAAAAGGACAAAAUAGUAAUUUUAUACAGAUAACAGAAUUUAUUAACAGAUUUUAACUCUAGAAAUAUAUUUGAAAUAGGUUGGAAUGUAAAAAAAAUAUUUUCAAUAUUAGCCUUAUAAUAGGAAUAAAUCAGAAAGUCGAAAAUUUUUCAGAAAUAUAUAAGCAAUUGCCCCUAAAAUUUAUGUACCCUAUGUAUCCUUGCACACUUUUAUAUACACACAGAAAGAGAGAGAGAAAAAUCAACACUACCAAAUGAGCUCAUCUCUGAGGUGGACAAUGAGAAUCAGCAUAUACGUAAAUUUUUUAUACACGAAAUUAUAGUAAACUUUUACUGUGUUUUAUUUAUUUAUUUUUUCCCUUUAUCAAUUGUGGGCCAUUCAUUUUUUGACUCAGUCACUUAAAGGUGUGCAAUAUUGUAUUCCACAAAUUGUCGUGUAUACGUUUAGGUAAGAUGUUUGAUGUGCCAUGACUCACAAGAGUUAAAAAAAUAGAAAAGCCCUUAUGAUAAUGCCAAACUGUUUGGUAUAGACAUAAAUGAAGCUAGUUAAUAAUCCAAAUUGAUUAAGUAGAAAAUAUGCACAGUGUUCUGAGUUGGCAUAAACUGCUCCAGUUGUAGAAAAAGCUUGGAGUGUGUGUGGGAAAUUAAUUAAUGUACAUGUUUAAAACAAUUAGUUGUUGUUUUCCUAUUUAUGCAUCAGAGGUUACACAAGAAGUUGCUAAUUAACCCUGCCUAACUACAUAUUAAAAUAAGUAUUUGAUGAUAAUCGUGUGGAGACGAAAUUUUGUUGCUGUGAUCGUCACGGCCUAAAGCAUUUGGUCCUUAAUUUUCUCACUAGGCAAUGAGAUUUGUAUUUGAAACCAUUCAGUGUCAGAUAAGCGAAACAAAACAGUGAUGAACGAUAGAUUGAUGAUUUUACUAUGACACAAGAAUGACCCCCGUGAUAUUUUGUUUCCACUUAGACGAUAAAUUUUUGGAGACUAUUUCAAGAUACGAUCGUCAAAUUCAUCGUUCAUUUUGUGCAACACAAUGUUUCAAAAGCAGUGAUGAAUGUUGAACCUUGGAUGUAGAACUUCAUGAAAUUUUUAUCUCUCUCUCUCCCACCCCCAAGUUGAAGACAAUGGUUUCAUAAUGUUCUUAAUUACAUACAAGUCAAAUUGCCCUAUAAAAGGGCCAAACUAAAAUGAGCUGGUGACAGUUCUAUUUUGUCAUGGAGCAAUUUAGGCUCUAAUGAAAAGACAACCCUCAAACUCUAGCAGGGGUUUGACAACAUAUAUAAUACAACUAAAACAAUUGACAUCAUGCAUGUGGGGGGCUAAAUAAUCUCAAUGUAGCAUAGUUAUUCUUAAUGUGGGACUAAUUGAGGAUUGGUAUAAUUAAUCUCCAAAAAUAGGAGUGUACCAAAUUGUAUACUAUUAUAUAUGCAGUAGAUUAACUAGAGUGAGACUGAUAUGUUUCUGAAAGUACGGAGUCUUCCGCUUCCAAGUCAUUUUCGAUGUUGGGAUUUUCGAAUCGACGAUCGACUCCGUUAGAUUUGAUCUAGAAUAUUUGAAGUAUCUAGAAAAUAAAUUUUGUGAUUUUUCGAUAUCAUUUGCAUAGAGAUCGAAGGGGCUCAAAAUCAAUCAUUUUAAUGAUCGUGGUGAGCAGCCGUUUGCAAAUUUAAUAGUAUAGAAAUAUCUAAAUUACGUGAAAUUUUGAUAGAAAUUUUUUUAUACUAUAUAAAACAAGAUCUAUAUCUUUGAUCUAAAAUUUUAAUGCCAUAUCAUCAUAUUUUGUAAGAUUUAUAUUUUCAGCCGUUGAUUUUGAGUCAUUUCGAUCACUAGGCAAAUAAUGUCAAAAAAUUAUGAAAUUUAUUUUUUAGGUACUUUAAAUACUCUAAAUUAAGUUUAAUAGAGCUGAUCAUUGAUUCGAAAGUCCCAACAUUCAAAAUGAUUUGAAAGCACGGAAGACUCUGUGCUUCUAGAAACAUACCAGCGAUCACUCGAUUAACUAACUAUAACCUACUCUCUUGACCAUUAUCACCAACAGAAUCCUAAUUAAUAUUAUUAAUAAACCAGCAAAAAAUGAGCUAAUUAUGUAUGUUACACUAAGAAAGCUUUAGCAAGCACAUUUCACUUCGAGUCGAACUCAAGAUCAUUAAAAAUCAUAAGGAAAUAAUGAUAAUAGCCAUCUAAACAAAUUGUGUAGUUCUCUUCUGAGCUAAAAUGUUUUUUUUUUUUUUUUUUGAGAAAUGAACUAAAAUGUUUAUAAGCUUCUUUUUUUUGGGGUCCAUUCCACCUUCAAUUUUGGGACCAUCAUCUUUAUCCUUUCCUACUUUAUAACGUUCAAAUAUUUUGUUACUGCGGUCCCCUGUUUAAUCUCUAAUUGGGAACUGUACACUAAUAAUUUUUUAUCUUUUUCAAAAUUAUAUAUCAACAAUAUCUGAAAUAGAAAAAAUGAACGCGGUGAAAAAAAAUUCUGACCCAUAUAUUAUCAAUCUCUCAUCACCCUCAUUAAUUCCUCUAACAAAACAGAGCAUGGUCUCAUUAAGGGGUUGUUUGGUUGCACGUAUUUGUAAUUGUACUGCAAUUACAAAUGCAUGCAAUUUUAAUUUCUGUGAUUGGUUUAAUGCAGUUAAGUCCAAUUACUGCAGUUGAGUCUAAUUGCUGUUGCAACUACACAAGAAGGUCCAAAUGUUGUAGUUGGAACUACAUCUAAAUUGGCUGCAGUUCCAACUGCAGCAGUUGGUGAGGAAUAGCAUCACCCACAAAUUAAAAUAAUAAAUAAUAUAUACAUAUAUAUAUAUAUAUGAAUAAAUAAAAAUACUUGUAAAUAAACUCAUACUAAUAAAAUUUUUUAGGUGUUUUGUGAAAAACUUUAAUUUUUUUUAAAUUUAUUUUAUUCAAAAUAUAAAAAAUAAUUUUUUUUCGUAAAUUUUUAUAGAAUAUAAUUGUGUAUGUCAACUUACUAAGUUUUAAUUAAUUGUAAUUAUUAAAUAUGAUAAAAAAAAAGAGAGAAUCGUUUAAAUUUUUAAAGUUUGAUUUACAUAUUAAAAUUAAAUAAAUUUAAAUUUUAAAUGUGUCGAUUAAUAAGUUGAAGAAUAUUAUAUAUAUAUACUUAUUUAUUUAUAGAUAGUAAAUUUAAAUAAUUAAUAAAAUUAUACAAUUAUUUUAUGUAUAGUGAAGGUAUAUAAUCUUACCACUCUAUCUAAAGUGAUGAUAAGAUUCACAAAUACAACUAUCAGCUUCAAAUUUCCAAACAGAAGAAAAGUAAUUGUAAUAGUUGCAUCUGCACAAAACCAAACAAACUAUAGAUAAUUACAACUGCUGUAUUUUCAACCGCAUGUUUUUUUUUUUAGAGAGAUAAGUAGCACGCUACCUGCUUCGUUUAUUUCAUUUAGAAAUAAACUUAGCUGGAAAUGUGAAUCAACUAGGAUUCGAACUUGGGUCUCGGAUACCAACCACCAAGCCUUUCGCCACUUGCUCUAUGAACGGUCAGUCGUAUAUAUUUUUAACUACACUGUAUUUAUAAUUACAUCCAACCAAACUGCUCCUAAAAGUCGUUAAGAAAGACAGUACAUAACACUCACAACAUGCAAAUGAUAAUGCGUUUGGUGUGGUAGUUGGGCAACAAGAUGUGGCAAAAGAGAGCUAGUGAUCCCAUGCCACUCUUGUCCUCUUGUCCCUACAUUAAACAAAUGAUAUUCAUAAAAGUUUAGGAAAAACUAAUAUGAUAAUUCUAAAUUAAAAUUAUAUAAUAACAAAAUAUUUUAUUUUUGUACUUCUAAAUGUGACAGGAAUAUUUCAUUAGUUACUUCUUUUUUUAAUUAUAAGAUAUCUAUCAUAGAAAUACUUUUUUUAGGAUAAAGAGACCCAUGGCCACGAGCCCACGAGGAGUGUAACCUAAAAAAAAGAAGCUGGUACAGGGAUCUCUCCCAUGUGAUAUUUUCUCAGAGCUGGUACGAAUACGAUCGCACAGUUGUGCCAUUUAAAAGCAUGGAGUAAAGAUUUAAAAAAUAAUAAAAAUUAAGAAAAAACUUUAAAAAAUCUUCUUGUGAUUUUAUUUUUUUUACUUUAGUAUACUGUGAUUUAAAAUUAGUAUCCUGUAGUUUAAAAUAUAUCAAGUUAGUACCCAGUGAUUUUGCACUUUAUCACUUUAGUACCCUAUGAUUUUAAUUUUGUCUCAAAUUAGUAUCCUAAAGUUUUUUAAACCAUAGGGUACUAAAGUGAUAAAGUAUGAAACCACAGGGUACUAAAGUAAUAAAGUGCAAAACCACAGGGUACUAGCUAACUUGAUACAAUUUAAACCAUAGGGUACUAAAGUGAUAAAGUGAGAAACCACAGGGUACUAACUUGAUACAUUUUAAACCACAUGGUACUAAAAUAAAAAAGUGUGAAACCAGAGGGGUUUUUGAGGUUUUCCCAAAAAUUAAUAAAAAUAACAUGGGGUAAUUUUUGGCUGAAAUAAUGCCAGUAACAAAUUUUUGCCUUACGACCUACGCAUAAUAACAGUAAUAUUAGGUUAAAUAUAAUUUUUAUAUUUAAAAUAUUUGUUAUAUAUAUAUAUAUAUAUUUUCAGAAUAGAGUGCCCCACCACCACAAGGUGUGGAACCUCAAAUACAACAGAUACAGGAUCUGCGCCAUGAAAAAAUAUUUAGAAUGUACCGGAUAUAUUACUGACGUAGUAUUUCUAAUCAAUAAAAUUGUGCUCUUAGAUUGAUACAUCCCAUCAUAAUUAAUAGAAAAAUAUUUUUAUUAUAUUUUUUAAAAAAAAUUAGAAAGAAAUAAUUAACUUAUUACUGAUGAUGUGAUAUGUAAGUGUAAUACAGUAGACUCUCUCUUGCACCAUGUGGCUAGUUUCGACGUCCCAAUACUACAGUACAGUAGUGCAUAUAUGAUCAGCAUGGUGCAUGGAUACGUUUAUGCACCAGCAAUAUAUAUACGGGGUGCCCACAACAGAAAGGUUUUUGCCUGGACCCGGUCCACCACAUUAGUCAGACAAAAUCCGGCUUGCGAAAUUCAAAUUCAACGCCACGGGUCCCACCUCCAGCAGCAAAAGGUCGUGAGUUUGAAUCCGAAUUUCAAAAGUUCGGCAAAGAAUCUAGAUUUUGAUUCUUACAAAAACAUUUCUAUAUAUACAUGCAUGUGAUUGUGCGUCGUGCUUAUCUAAAAGGUAGAAAUAUUAAAAGUGGUAUGUUAUGGAAAUCUAUUAAUCACCUCCAUUUAGAUAUCAAACUGUUUCCAAAGUCAGUGAUAUUAAAUGGGCAAUGGGUUAGAUGAGAAAUAUGUUUUUUAAAACUUAUGAUUUAAGAUCUAAAUGAGAGAUAUUUUUUUUUAAAACUUAUGAUAUAUUUAAGAUCAAGCAUGUAGAUGGACUACGAUUAUUUAAAUUUGACAGUUCGUCGAGUCCACCCAUGUAGAGGAAAUAAUUUCUCCGACAACACUGCGUGGGGUGCACGGGACUACACAAUCACAAAGAUAUAUAUGUACUGCUACCUAAUAAUUUGUCGCUCUUGUGUCUCUAAUGGCAUGAUUUUGUGUUUGGCUCUUUAUACUAUUCAAUACUUCUAAAAUUUGUUCAGGUGACCAUAUUUAGUAUUAACGAGCCAGAAGUUCGAUUUCUGUGAUAGGAGGUCAGGUUGAAUCAAGUCAUGUUCGAAAUGGUUGGAAGACGGGUUGAGUCGAAUCAUGUUCGACGUGAGUUAGACUGGUUGAGUCGAGUCACAAUCGAGAUCUGUAGCCGUUGUGUCUAUAUGCUAUAACUGAAUCGGUUGCGUAUUUCUAAUAACUCGAGCUUUCGAAAUUAAUGGUUAGCGCCAACGUCCGAUAUAAUGUCGAACUAAUUAAAUUGUUCAAGGGCUCACUAGGACCAAUCCAAAAUUUUAAAGUUUGUUAAACAGUGGAUAAUGAAAUUGUGAUCAAAACUAUACAAAGUCAAGUAAUUAAGCUCUUAAUUCCCUACAGGAGGUGACCAUUUUCCACAACUCUCAAAAAAAAAGAUAUUUAAGUAGCCACUUUUGACCAUUUUACCAUCUUUGAAUGGAUAUACCUUUGUUCCCACUCCACUAGCUGGUAAGUAGAAAGCAAAUUGAAAUUGUUUUCUGAAACCUUUCAAAUGCACUUUUUCCACACAGGCAGUUCAUUGCUUUCAUUUAUUUGCUUUUCCAAAGUUUCUACAAUCUGACUGAAAGCUACAGCUCUUCCCACCUCCAUCAACUAAAUAUCUAAGAACUGUAUUAUGUUGUUCAGAUGCCAUUUCCAUCAUUAUAUUUAUGCUCUUCUAGGAUCUACAUGAUGCUUUGUUUCACCCACAAAGAUAACCAUUGUUAUCUUUUUGUCAAGUGGCCUCUAUUCACUUCUAAUUCCCCCGAAAGCGGAUUCAGUCGAGACCAUGAUGACUAAUAAAACAUCAGAACCUUUCAUAAUAAUGCAUCUCUAACAUCAGUAAGUUCAGAAGAGCGCGUAAUUCAGUAAGGGGCUAAAGAAACAUGCAUGCUUCCAUAACAUUACAAUUUAUUUUGGUACUAACACAACAUGUUAAGGAUCAGAACAUAAGUUAUCAUUAGUGCCUUUCUUUAGCUUGAUACCUGAGACCAAUAUAGCCGAUCAUAGAAUAGAAUCUCCGAUAUUCGAUAAGUAGGUAGUGUGUCAGUUUCCAAGUAGGGAUUACUUGCUUUUGCAUUUGGAGAAGAGGCAAGGGAUGAUGCGUAACGAAGUUAACGUAAUAUAAACAUAUGAAGAAACACUGUCAUUGUCUUUCUUAAUCUCUGUAAGACCUCAAAAGAGUGUAGAAAACUAAUAUUAUCCUUAAUAAUGAGCAGGUCAUUUUAUACGCCUUUAACACGAAUCCUAAUCUUAUCUUAUACCAGUUAGUGAACAAAGAGAGUGCUCUUUUCUUUUUUUAAUAAAAAAAUAAUAGUAAAGAAAGUGAGUGUGCUGAUCAGCAAUGCCAGUUUUUAGGAACAAUAAGGUUAAAUGUAACUUCACUCUCCACUUUUGACGACUCUCGGCUUUUUGCCUGUCAAUUUCAUUAGACAUCAUAAUAAGCUCUGAAGUUGAUUGGUAUCUGUAAUAACGACAGUUUGCAGAAACAGGAACUGCUUCUAUCUUUCACUAGAUUCAUCACCUACUUCUCUUUUCCUCUUUUUUUUUCCUUUUACUAUUAAUCUCAAGAAGAUACUGCAAAAAUUAUCUUUAUCAAGCAAGAACAACAAAUGGAAAAGCCAAAAGUUUAGAAGCAUAUUGAUUAGCUCUAUGUUACAGAAAUUAUACAUCAUAUCAAAGACGCAUCUGGCGUGAAUAAUGAAUAUAACCGUUUCGUUCAUUCUGUCAAAUAGGAGGACGCGUGUUUAUGCCCCAAAAAUUUAUUUUGUGUUCGAUCCAUGAAUUUCACUUUCCGAUGUAUUCGAUCCAGACAUGAAACUAUGUGGUGGCAUGAAAAUAAAGCUAACAUUGUCUGAAGUACAAAAAAUUCAUUGCAGCAAAAUUCAUUUCUGCAUACAUCUUGGUCAUAUUUCAAGCUGCUUUACUCAAAAAAUACUUCUACAUGAGUUCCACUUUUAACUGGAUCUAAGAUCAUUUCUAGCCCUGUAAAAUCCCAAUAUUUGUUCCUACUCAACAUACUUUCAAAUUAAAAUGGUCAAAAGCAUGUUUGAGUAGGAUUAAAUAUAAUUCUCAAAACAUGAAAAAUUUAGUCCCAGAGUCAGGCCAAAAAGGCUUGAAUUGUAGAGUUAGACCCAAAGUCGGCCAAUAAGGGGUCUCAAUCCAAAGGGGAAAAAAAAAAAAAAAAAAAAACGUUGAGGGGGUCAUUUCAGAAUGCAUAAUAGUUGAAGGGUUCCCAAUUCCCAUACAUUUUCAGCAGCAGAAUAAUAUGGCUUUUCAGCUCAUAGGAAAAGUCGGGGCCGAAUGGCUUAGAGCGACUACUUCAUACCAAAAGUCGGCGGCGAAAGAGAUCAAUUUAACGAUUUCGCAUACUUUGCCGACUCUAUUAGCGAUACACGUUGCAUCGCCGUAUUUGCGGCGAGCGGCUUCGUUAUUGAAGUCGUCGGUGAUAUAGAUAGCUUUGCCGAAUUGUAUGUAGUUACUCGCCUCAACCAUGCUCCGUGCUCGAUUCGGUAAUAGCGGAGCAAACGAAGCUCUCCUCCCUUCCUCUUCCCCUUCCUCCGCCUCACCUCAUCUCACCUUCUCUCAUGGCGAUUCCAAUCGCAGAUAAAACCCUAACCCUCCCGACCUCUCUCAUCUCCCCACAACUCCCUCCUCUUCGUCUCAAUCCCAUCUUCCUCCGGAACCUCACCUUCUCCUCUGCUUCUUCGAGCUGGAAUCGGAAGCCCAUGGCCAUCGCCGUCUCCUCCACAAUCUCCACCUCUUCCGACGCAAACCCGUACAAUUACGGUGGAUGGGAUGAUGUGGAGCUCGUCGAUGGAUCUGAUAGGUCGGGGAAGGUCGAUUCGAUUCGGAGCUUCUUGGUUUCCCUCGGCGUUCAUGAAGGCAAGCACGGUUUCCUCUUCGUUUUGGGCUUUAUCUCUGCUUUUGCGGUUUCUAGGGUUAGGGUUUCUCCUGUGGUGGUCGUACCUAUCUCGGUCUUGGUCUUUGUUGCUGGAUUCGCAGCGGGAUCGACUCAGAAGAGCAUUGUUAGUAGGAAUGAUAGUGAAAUUAGGGCAUAUGAUGAGAAACAUAGGAACUUGAGAGCUAUUUUGAAUGAGGUGGAGGUUAAGAUAAGUGAUUUGAGAAAUGGAUUGGAAAAUAUUAGAAAUUCAGGUCAGUUAGAUUUAAGCAAGAUUAAAAAUUUAGUGGAGGUUGUUGAACAUAUAGGAAUUAAAGUUGGUUAUGGUAGGAAAUUUGUAGAGUUUUCAAAUCCAGGUGAUGUUUUGGAUGACAAUAUGGAUAUAGAGAGUGAAAGAUGGAAGAAAUCGAACCAGAAAACAGGUCAGAAGAAAACAAAAUUCGAAGCAAUUGCUGUUGAUCUUGUUCAAUAUCUCGGUGGUCUUAUUAAAGAAAACAUAAAUGAGUUUAAGCCAUCUAAGAGCAAAGAUGGGGGCAAUAAGCAAGAACUCUCGGAUCAGCCGAGCUUAAUUAGGGAAAAGAAUAUAAAUUCUGCAGAUGCAAUGAAAGGAAAUGCUAUUGCUAAUGAUAAUUCUUCUAAUCCAUCACUAGUCGAAACUGUGAAAAACAAGUUAGAACAAGAUGAAGUAUUUUCUGGAAAAACAGAGAGAAAGGCAUUGGAUAAGUUGAACAGUGGCGAAGAGUUACCUUUUGAUACUACUCAAGAUGUAAUCAACGAGAUGAAGAACUCCGAAUCCAGAGGUAAAAGGUACAGUAGUGAUAUGCUCUCAUAUGAUGAGGAGGGUAAUGACUUGAAUAUGAGUUUGCACUUCAUGAGCAAGCAAGCGAGUUUUGAGAGAAUGGUUAUUAAGCAUAGGUAUGGCCAGAUGAUAAAAAGUGAUAUUCACGAUCCUGCUGAUUAUGGUACAAAUCCAAGAGCAAGAGAAACUACGAGAAAUAUGGAUUUCUUCAAAAAGUCUGAAGAAUUAUCACAGGUAGAACAGACCCUGGAAAUACGCAACAGCAAUAAGUUGAAGGCUGAGCAGAUAGGUGGAACCACUUUCAGAAAGGCCAAACCAAAAGCAAAUUCUGAGUAUCGACUUGAACAAGCACCAAAUGCUGAUGUUACAGAGAAAGAGGUUGUUUCUUCUUCCCCAACAGUAUCAAGUGAUGAAGAAUUCAAUCAAAAUGUAAAGAAGGCCACAGAGCUUCUAAAAAGGGCAAGAGGAUGCAUGGCAAGUAAAGCGGAUGAAGAGACAGCUGAUGCACUACUAUACAAAACUGCAAGACUGCUUUCCACAGCUGUAGCUCUUAAGCCGACAAGCUUACUAGCUGUGGGGCAGUUGGGAAAUACUUUUCUCCUCCAUGGAGAGCUCAAGUUGAAGGUAAGUCGGGAACUGAGAACUCUUUUAUCACGUAGUGAUGUCUAUCUAAGAAGAGAAAGGCCUAGUAUAUUGCUCAAGAAGCUGGAUAGAAACAUUCUAAGCAGAGAGAGUGUUGCGUCUGUUUUGGUUGAUGUGUGUGAAGAAUGUGAGGGACUCCUUGUUGAGGCAGGAAGAAAGUAUAGAAUAGCUCUGUCGAUUGAUGGGACUGAUGUCAAAGCGCUCUAUAACUGGGGCCUUGCGCUCUCCUUCCGUGCUCAGUUAAUUGCAGAUAUUGGGCCGGUAAGGGUUAACAUUUCUUGGAUUGACUUUAGUUGUUAGUACUAAAUUUUUAAAAUUUUCAAUUGAAGCAUAAGUUGAAUAGACCUUUCUCACACCAAAAGAAAACGGAGCAAGAAUUGUAUCAAUUUUAGGGACGUGACAUAUUUCAACUUUAAUUAUUACAAUUUCGGCCAGGAUGCAUUCCAAGCUAACCAAGCAUAACAACCGAAAAAAAAUCACCUGCUAGCUUAUCCAAUCAUAUAACCAUAGUGCUGUACUGCACUACUGGUAAUAUUACUUUAAAUUUGCAUAAUGAGAUUCUAGCGGACAUUAUUCACACUCAUUGCACAUAAUUGGUUUAGAUUGUUAAAAUAUUAGAUUUAUAUACGUGUUUUGGAAGUUGGUUAUAUGGUGAUUUUGAUGUUGUAUUCGUCCCGUUUGCUGAAACUAAAUGCAGGAAGCAGCCCUUGAUGCUGACAAGGUGUACCUGGCAGCAAUUGAUAAAUUUGAUGCUAUGUUGUCCAGAGAAAAUGCUUAUGCACCAGCAGGUAUGCCUUGAUGAUUCAAAUUCUCCUAAUCUUCUGUUGAAUUAAUGUAAUUAUCAUUCAGGAACAACAUCUUUGUACAUAAUAUGGAAAAGAAAUUAUGGAAAACCGAUAAUGUUCUAUUUUUGAUGAAAACGUUGAAGGAACAUCUAUCAUUGUGUAUAGCCAAACAUUUAGCAAACUGAAAGGAGCUUCUGCCACAGCAGAAGCCGAAAUGAACUUUAUGACUGCAAAGUAGAGGCUCCAUUUUGAAGCCUGUACUUCCGGUGCAGCAGGAAGCUAUUGAGGUGAUUUCGGUAAAAGUUGUUUGCGCUUCUUCAAGCUACUUAAAUAGCAUUUAUGUAGAAGCUUCAGUGGAGGCAAGCAGGCCGUAAUUGAACCGAUCAAGUAUUGAAACACUGAAAUCCUUUUUUCAUGGCUUUUAUAUUCCUUUCUAUGCAACUUAUAGAUGGUAUGAAUAAUUUAGUGUUCUUUCAGUGCACUACAUUGCUUAUUUAAGUUACAUAUCGAUAGAUGACUUGUUAGCUAUUUACUGACCAGAAGUACAAAAAUGUGCAGCUCUGUAUAGAUGGGGCGUAGCACUGCAGCAGAGAUCACAUUUGAGACACCGCAGUAACAGGGAGAAGGCGAAACUGCUGCAGCAGGCGAAAAGCCUCUUUGAAGAUGUGCUGUGUGUAGAAGCCGAUAAUCGGCUAGUAAGAGAAGCUCUUUCUUCGUGCAUAUCAGAGCUCAACUACAAUGGACAAUGGCCGUGAACCAAGUAUUGCCAAAAUACUAAUAUUAGAUGCGCUCGAGGAAGUUCAUAUGCACAAAUUUUUAUCUCCAGAAAUAAGCAAUUUCGGCUUAGACGGACAAUUUAUGAUCCAUAGAGCAAUAAUAAAGUAAAAGCAGAAGCAUGAAAUAGGCUUUUCGUACCCAUUUGUAAGUGGUCAUAGGGAUGCCAGAAGCUGGAGGGCAAAUUGCACAUACUACAUUCUGCAGCUAUGUAACUCGCUGUAGAAGUUUAUUCUUUACCUGAAUCCUGACUAAUGCAGGACGAAGCUUCAUUACGCUUAUUGGUCCAGUUCUUUUUUUGGGGUGGGAAGAGCUUGUCGAUCCUAAGUUUGUAUCCUUGAAAUAACUACACUUGUACAAACUUUUAUUGAUUUGUGACCAUGCAUUAGUUAAUUUGAAAAGUGAGAUAUAUGAAUCUAAUCUAUCAAAAUUCCUGAAAAUGACUACAGAUUUCCAUACAAUUCUAUGCACUCGAGAUUAAAAUCAUUCAGCACUUCAUUGGAUUGAGCCUCAAAUUCCAAUACAAAAGAAGCUGUUUACCUCGAAACAAUUUAGUUUGAUGACAAGCGUUUUGAGUUUACAGGCAAACAGUGUCUGAACUGGAACACAUUUCCAAAUUACAGAGUUUCUGCUCUUGGUCACUUGCUAGAUGAAGUAAUUGCAGGUGCAACUCAAAGAUUCUUGCACAAAACACUUUCAUGGAUGAGAUUAUCCACACAAAAUGACUAGUCAUCCUCUGGAUCGAAAUCCUUGAUUUUCACAUCAGCAUCUUCUCCGUACUGGAUGCAGUUGUCGAUAUAUGACAGUACGUAUUGUAUGCUGAAAAAGAAUGACGAUAAUAAGAGGCAAUACAAUGAUCAAAUUUUGCACACAAUAUCAGAAAAAUUAGUAGGAAAGUAUAAAAGCCACAAGAGUAAUAUUUCACAUUUGUCCUGUUGAUGCUGUCACAAUUAGCGCAGCUGCAUAAUCAAACCGAUUUAGAAGUUUUUGGUUAAUUGCCAGAAAUUACUAGCCACAUCUUAGAAGCCAACAUGCUUUUAGCUAAAAAAAAAGGGCUCCCAUUUUAUAGGUGUAGGUUUCGAAUCUUUCAUGUAAGCACAUGUGGUAUUUAAUACAUAUAACUAAGAUUGAGUACUAUGAAAUGAACAUUUGGACGUAUAUAGAGCUCGUACAGCUGGGAGCAGUUGAUAAGGUCGUUUAGGAACAGACACUGGCAGGAUGCCAUUUUAAGCACUAGCACUGAAUGGAACAGCAGAUCAAACAAUGAAUUGAAACUAAUCGAAUUGGAAUCAAAUUCACUGAAAAAUUCAACUAACAAAUGAUAGAUUUUUACUAUAUCACACGUACCUGCUCUCUUUUCUCAGGUCAAGAGGAAUAAAACUCACCAUGCUGUAGUCAUCAACCUAAAAAAUAUAAACCGCAACAUAAGAUAACAAAUAGUACAAAAGAGACAUUACGGAACAAAAAAAAGGUUAAAAGUUUAUGUGGCAGAGACAAUAACUUCGACUAAUAAGAAGAAUAAAGUUCUAACCGGUGGGUCUAUGACUCUGUGACAUGUAACACAGCAUACCCACACAACUUCAACAUACAUAUACAAUAUAUACAUGCUUGAGCUCGUGUGCUUCUAAUGAGUAAUGCGGUAAGCAGCCAAUUAUAAUGAAAAUUACUAACCUGAGAACGAACUCUUAAAACAAAACAGAAAGAAAGACAAAGAACAACAAUAAUGAUUCACUGAUUUCUCGCAGCCAACUCCCUCCAUUAAAACAUACCAGUUCAGCCAAAGCUUUAUUUAACUUUGCAAACUGAGGUGCCAUAUGCUGAUUCAACGCUGAGAGUAAAACCCGUGCCUCUGGAUUGAGAUACCUAACAACAAAUAAUGGAAGAAACUUAACAAGCAAAUAUACAAAGAAACCAACUUUAACACAAGGAAACAGAGCCUACUCUUCAACAUCCUUUUUGUUAGCAACCAAGUCCAUUUUCGAAAGGAUGUUAACAUGAGGAAGUUCAAGCUGAAUCAUCGCAGAGAGAGAUGCCAUGCAACCACUGAUGUACUUGGUUACAUCAGUCAUGAACUGCACAAGAAAGAACAAAAUGAGGAUCUGAUAAUUGCAAUGAUGUUAUAUGAUUUUUAAGGGUUUCGCACAUUAUACAAAGAAAUUGUACAACGAACCUGUGAGUCAAGCAAGUAGACAGCACAAACGUUGAAGUUCUUGCGCUUUAGAUGUUCGACAAAAUUCCGCAGAACGGGGACAUGUGUAAAUAGUUCUAUCUGACCUGUCCAACAAUGACCAAAUUAUAACUUUCAGUGUACACUUAUCAAGUAAAAUAUCCCAAGUAACAGGUGUCCAAUACUUUAAGUCACACCAAAUUCUGAGCAUCUUACCUUCAAAAAGAGAAAUUCAUUAAAAAAAAUGUAAACAUGCUGCAAGAGGAGUACGACAAAGUCCGGGAUCCAGAGUCAUUUGAUGAUAAAUAACAAAGUAUGUCUAAUAAAACUGGAAAUGAUAUUAGCCAAUGAUUGCCAACUCAACGACCAAUUAACAAAAAAAAACAGAAAUUUGAGUAUGACCAUAAAUCACCUCUAUCCAAAAAAAAAGAUGCAAAACUACUUGGACUUCCUAUAAAAUAAAGGGAGAGGGGAGAAGCGAACAAAACAAGAAAGCAUCAGUUUAAGAAAGCUCAAGUAGAGGUACUACUAAGUACUGGAAUAUGCUUAAAAACAAAAAUGAUAAGAUAAAUUAGCAUAGCAAUGCCUUACCUGGACAAUCGAAGACAAGGUAGUCGUCAUCCAAAUAGUUUUCUAGUUCUUCUUCCAACCAGUCAUCCAAAUUUUCUUCAAGGUGCCUACAACUUGCUUAAGGAAAUGCCGCUCAAACACAAGAAAGAAACAUUAACAACAACCAACAUACGAGAAUGAAAAGGUUUUCCGAUAUCAGAUACUUCAAUAAAAACAAGCGAGAUAUAAUUCGAAUUUCAGGAUACUCCAUGCAAUACAUAAGUCCUCCGUUUGGCCCUAACCCAAGCUCCUCCAUAACAUCAUCCAACGAUAUGAGUUCUCUAAUAUCUGCAGCGAGGAAUAAUAAUCUUAAUCAUUCGAUUUUGCAACCGUUUAAAAAGUUCAGUAGAAUAAGAGAUCUUGAAAACGUUACAAAGAUUACCCAUUGCCACAGGGUAGUCAAAAUUCUCGGCAGCAGGAUCGAGGUUUACUACAUGAAUAGUCCGCCUCGUGGUCUCGCAGUGCUGAUAUAAGCUGGAGCAAUAGGUCGACUACACCACAACAAGCAAAAGAAUAACUCACCAGCAAACAGCAAAUGGGAAAAAACAAAGUAUUAAUCUACAUACUCUUUAAGCUAACAGUUUAAGAAGUAGUAAAAAGCGAUCAUGUGCUGCUUCAACAUUUUGAUACGAGUAAUUUCCGUUUAGAUGAAUUAGGGAAUCCGCGAAGAUUAACAACUCAGUAGGCUAAAAAAGCAGGAACAGCUUUAAAUUUUAAUAAAACUCACCCCUCAUUAACAAUAAUAAUAAUAACACCACAAUUCAUCUGACAAAACAACUUAGAUCAAAAUAAACAAAAGUUGCGGGAGUGUCUUAGGGAUCUGCUUCAACGUGGCCUAUAGUUUUGAAGUUUCCACGAUAUUUUACCGAGAUCAGGAACUAACGAUAUCAAAGAAUCGCUCAUACACGAGACACGAAUAUAAAUUUUACGGACAAUACAAAAACAAAGACGGAAAAAAGGGGGGACAAAGGAGUAAACAACGGAUUAAACGCUCACCUUGCCGCUCCCCGCGGGGCCGAUGACGAGUUGCGCGUAGCCCAUAGGGGAUGCCCAAAGAAGAAGAAGAAGAAGAAGAAGAAGAAGAAGAAGCCCCUUUCGCUACUCCUACAGCGGCGCGAGAGCGUGGGAUUUAGAGGAAGGUGAGAAGAGCGGUGGUGGCGUACGCUGUGCACCACACGAUCGCGGCGAAGAGGAUGAUGAGGAUCGUGUAGUACUCCAUUUCUAGGGUUUUGCUUCUGAUUGAGAGGAAGAGGAAGAGGAAGAAGAAGAGGAAGGAGGAAGGGGGAUCGCAAAGGAAGAGGAGUGCAGAGAGAUGAAUCACCGUAGACGGAGAGAAACAGGGUCUAUAAAGGGUUUCGGUGUCGAGUGGAAACACUUUUAAUUUUUAUAAAUACUUUUUAAGACACUAUUUAAAUUUUUUAAAUUAGUCUAAAAAGAAAUUUUGAUGAGUAAAUGAUUACGUACACUUUGUAAAAUUAAUAUUAAAAGAAUUAAAAAUUAAAAUUUAAAACAUUUAAGAACCUACAAAAAUAAACCCGCCCGGAUCAUGUGAUCCAAACGUGGCCAAAGUUGUCGGGUCAAACCCAACCCAAUAUGGCUGAUCGGGUUGGCUUGAACCCCAGUACAAAUUACGAUCCUACUUGUGUGUAGCAUUCAAUUUAAGCCGAUUUACAUUGUGCUCAGGGGCGUAAUCACAAUUCUACUUGGCGCAUUCAACUUAACAAAUAGAAACCAUCUCCAACAGGUUCAAAGCUUAAUUUUGGCCACAAACCACAGCAACAACUUUAAGGGGCCGUUUAGUUGAAUAUAGUUAUAAAAAUAAUAUAGUUGAAAGUACAUAUAGUUGUAAAUACUACAAUUGUAAAUGCUCAGUAAUAAUUGCACCUAAUCUGUUUGGUUUUAUACCUUUGCAACUACUGUAGUUAUAUUUUUUUGUUUGGUAGGUUACAGUUGAAAUUUCUAUUUAUAAAUUCUAUAAAUUUUUAGAUAAAAAGAUAAGAUUAUCUCUUCUAAACAUAGCAUAAUCAUGAGAUAUUUUAAAUAUUAAUUAAGACUUUUAUAUAUAUAUAUAUAUAUAAAAAAUAAAAUUAUGUAUAAAUUUAAUGAAUUUUAAAUGCACACAUACUAUAAGUUUGGUCAAAACAAAAAUUAACGCAUUAUUAAAUUAGCAAACUAGAAAAAAAAUAAAGUGUAUGAAAAAAAAUUAUUGAAUCUUAACACACAUUAUUAAACCUAGAAGGUUUCAUGAAUAGGUAUUCUUAAAAAAUAUAUAUUAAAAAAAAAAGUAUAAAAAAUUUUUAUUAAAUCCCAAAAAAUAUUAUUAAAAUUCUAGCAAAUUUCAUGAAUAGAUACUCUUGGGAAACAAAAAGUUAAAAAAAAUAUACGAAAAAAAAACCACACUUUAUUUAUUUUUUUAAUUGGUGAGCUCACUCCAGCCUAUUGCAAAUUGGCUACAGUACCAACUACAGCAGUUGGGCAAUUGCAGCAGUUGAAUCUAACUACAUCAAACCAAACAAAAAUUUAACAAAAAUUUAAUAGAUGCAUGUAUUUCUAGCUGCACUGCAGUUGGACAUGCAUGCAACCAAACAGCCCCUAAAAUAUGCAGUUGCCAGUAAGUGGAGAAGCGAAUUUAGACGCCUCUAUGUUAACACAAAAGGCCAAUAUAGAAUUCAUAAUGGCGGAAUAUAUAAAUAUACAAAGUGUGAGGGGCUUGAACCUUCAAGAAAAGGGCCACCGACCUCAAACCUGCCUCAUUCAUGAAGCUUUCAAAUCUUUGAAGAUAAAUAAAAUAAAUUCCGCGCAGCACUUCCGAUCCAAAACAAGACCAAAGCAACAAAAGAAAUUACUGUUUGUCAGAGGCAUCAUGCUGAUACAACGAUUUAAGAAUCAUAUAACAUGUUAACAGCGAGUAUUGCAACUUGAUACAUGCUACGCUAAUAUUUGUGCAUGCUUUGGCAAUUUAAGUGCCAUUUACAGUUUGGUAUGUUAUCCACCAUGACUUCUGUGUACCUAAAAUAGUUGUAACACAAUUAUAAUCAGGCCCCCUCUUAAAAAACCACAUAUCCUGAAGAGGGUCUGCUCUAGCGAAGCACCCAUUUUACUUGCUAACCUGAGCACAAGAAAUAUAAAUAAAUAAGACAUUAACUGGGCCACCAAAAAGCCAAACCAACAAAGGAGAAAAAAACCCAUUAAUACGCAAAUGUUUUACCCUGUCGUGAAUUCGCACACUCCAAUCAUUAUUGAGAGGUAAAUUAGAUUCAAUAGGUGAGGGCGCACGAAGGGACUGGCUUCUCAGGAGAGGUAGCCUUGCAGGUUCAUUAUCAUCAUCACUGUCGUAAUAACUUUCGUGAUCUGGUCCGAGAGCCCUGAGUACCAUGGCCAAGAACAUGGACAAAGCCUGAAAAUUAAAGGUUAAGGACCGGGUCAUAAACAUCAAGUAUCUAGAUGGCAUAGAAGUAGGAGAAUCAAGUAUCUGCUAAGCAGCGGAUGCAGCUAUCUUCUAAAAGAUACUUACCUGUGCAGCCACGACAGAUAAGCCUAUCCAUUUGCACAUUUCAAAAUUCAACCUCACAAAAUUUUUAAAUUCAUCGAAUUUCCCACUUGGAUCCUCUGGAAAAUCCUAUAAUGAAAGAGAAAAAAAGGGAGAAAAACAGUUCAGAUCAUAUCUGGAGAGAGAGAGAAAGAGAAAAAUCAGAUGCCUCGUAUAGAUGAUACCUCUUCCCAGUUUCUGUUCAGAAAAAUAUCGGCAGUAAUUGCAGCCUCCAGUAACACAAGCAAAAACACAAAGGCCAUGUACUAUAGAACAGUUAAGGCAAACAAAAGAAUAAAGAGUAUAUCACAAUGAAACAAUAAUUAAGACGAGAAAACAAGGCUAUCAUUACAAAAAGUGAAUAUACUAGAACCAUUACUUGUUGAAGUGACUUAAGAAGAUCAAAAACGGGUAAUGAAAUUUAGUUUCCUGGCCUCAAAAUUAUUAUCUUCAAUAUGCAGGAUAUUGCAAUCAACCUAUUCAGGACGGUACCACCUGUGUUAUGAAUAUAGUUUAUGCUCAUGUAACAAACUUAAAAGCUGUAAAUGAAGCUCUCCUUCGUAUCUCACGUCAAGUAAAAGGACUUCGAUUUCAUCAUCUUAAAACUUUCUAGUUUACAGUAGUUAGACUUUUCAAGUUAGCCAUUGCCUACAGCAGGAUAAAGCUGGCACAAAACCUUUUAUCAUCUCUGGAAGCACCCAUCGCAUCUUCAGUACCCGUCAGAUUCCAAUAAAGCGGAAAAUAAAUUCAACAAAAGCCUACUAAAUUUGAUAUCUUUAGAAAGGAUACACAAGAAAGGCAAUGGCCAUUUGCAGUCUCGGCAGCGAUGUGCCCCGAACAAGUUAGCAAGCACAAGAAGACACCUAGACCGAGAAAUGUGUAAAUGAACCUGCAUCAAAAAGUUAACUGUCUCAGGAACAUCUCCAUUAAACAAACAUAGUUUUUCCAGCACAGUGAAAAACAAUCUCAAGUACAAAUGUAAAAACAGUUGUUCUUUGAAAUAAGCAUCGAAGUUGACAACAUCUGGGAACAAUCUACAACAAAGUUCUUCUCAUAGAUAGGAUUGUAUCCCCGAUCUAAUUCUUGAGUCCCAUAAUAAUCCUCAAAAAGUAAUAAAACAACUAAAAUACUAGUAAAUAUUGGUGAUCAAAGCAAUAAAAUAAACGCUAAACUGAAGCCAGAGAUUUGUCUUUUAAGCGAGUUUCUUAUACGACCCCUUUUUUUUUUGUACUUUCUAAACAAACAUCACAGCAUCAGUUUCCAAAUUCCAAGUCGUCGUAAACCCUAGAAUAACUUGCGAAUAAGAGAUCCAUAGAACCGUAACGGAGAAAUUAGAGCAAAUAACUAUGAAAAAAAUGGGGAAAAUUAGAAAAAGGGGGGAGAUCGAAGCGAACCACGGAGGAGAGGAAUCGAAACCCCCGCCUCCCCCGAUCUGCUUGAACCAAGCCCUAAGCAUCCAGAGCGCGUAGAGAAUCAUCCCCAUCCCCGUCAACCCGAUCACCGAGUUCACCAGCUUCAGCAGCGAUUGCAAGCAACUCCUCAGCAUCCUCGCCAUGGAUUCCUCCGAGCGGAGCGAGCGCGACGAACCCUAGAUCACAGAACCGGAUCGAGGGAGACGAGAUCGAAGAGGAGAGGAGGUGGGAGGGAUCGGAUCGAAAUGCGUACGGGGAGGUUUUGGAUUUAUCGCGUACUUUGGAUUCCUUGCGAAUGGGGGCGAUAAUUAGAUUCAUAGAGUGGAGAGGUUUUCGAGAGGAAAAGGAUGGGGUAUCUGAUGGGGGUAUGUUUAUGAUUUCUAUGACGAGAGUUUGGCUCAUUCCACUUUCGAUGGUGUGAUAACAUGGUUAAGUUGAGUAUCGCGUACCCCAGAAACUACCACAAUAAGUACCCAAUAAAUAAAGAGAUAGCUUAUAAUUUUUUUAUAUAUUGCUGGUUUGGUUACUAGCAAUAUUAUGAAGUUUUAUUUAGUUCACCAAUUUUAAUUCUAGUUUAAUCGUAUUAAUUAGUAAAAUCUUUUAUUUUUCUUAUUAGAAUAAAAAUGAUAAUUGAUUUAGUUAUAUUCUGAAAAAUAGCAUAGUAGGGACAUUAUAAUUUAUUUUUAUUGCAAAAUUAUAUUAUAAUACAAAUAUCACAUUAUUUUUAGAAUACACCAUUAUAGUUAAAUUAGCAAAACAAAAUAAAUACUAAAUUAGAAAAAAAAAAGAUUUUACUAAAAAUAUCUACUUUUAUUCUGAAAAAUAGCAUAGUAGGGACAUUAUAAUUUAUUUUUAUUGCAAAAUUAUAUUAUAAUACAAAUAUCACAUUAUUUUUAGAAUACACCAUUAUAGUUAAAUUAGCAAAACAAAAUAAAUACUAAAUUAGAAAAAAAAAAAACUCCCUUGUAAAUAUCUACUUUUUAAUUUUUCAUCUCCAACUCUCAAAAAUUUAAAUUCUGCUCCAUUAAAAUUUCAGAAAUAUUUUCAGAAGGUUAUGGCGUUAAUGGAGAGAACAAAAUGACCAAAUUAUCUUUCUUUCUUAUAUAAAAAAAAACAAUUUUUUAAUAUAUUUUUGUAAUUGUGAAGAAUAUUUUUGGUAUACAUUAUAAAAAAUGGAUAGAUGAAACAUUGACGAAUAACGACUAAAUGCAACAAUUUAAAAUAUUGAGGGGAUAAAAAAUAUAGAUUAAAGAAUAUUUAUAAAAAAAAAUUCUGUAAUUUAGCCAAAAAUAAAAUAAAAUUCAACUACUUUUGCAUCAAAUUAUAAUCCAAUGACUUAAAUAUAAUUUUGGUUAAUGAUGUAAUUUAUUUGAAAAAAAAAAUGUUAUCCGCCGUUGGUGACUGGGGAAGUUGCUUGGUAGGCGUAGCCGAGCAAGUUGAGUAAUUACGGUGUAGUCAAAAAACGGGUGGUAGAUGAAGAAAAUGGGUAGAGAGGAAGACUUUGGAUCCUGCGAUGGCUGGUCAGAUAAAAAUUUUGGACUUUUCUCGACCCCUGCAUUCGUUUUGUUGUUGUCUUUGGUGGCUGAUCCGAAAUUUAAAUUUAAAUUUAAAUUUAAACUUGGGAGUUUAGAUUUAAUUGGAGUUUGGAUUUCGGGGUUAUCUCCUUCAAAUUGGAAAUGACUGGAAACUUUGUUAUAUGCAGCUUACGUGGUUUAUUCAAAGUGAUCUCUAAAAUACAGUCGAUUCAACGAUUGGAAUAUAUCUGGGCAUAGGGGUGGCAAUUCAGUUCGCUGUUCGUGAGCCAGCUCGUGUUCGGAUGGAAAUGAGCUCGAGAUCGAAUCACUCAUUUAGUAAACGAGUCGAACAUGAGCUAAAUUUUUUAGCUCGUUUAAUUAAAGAGGCGAACACUAGCUGGGGUCAUCUAGUUCAUGUUCGGCUCGAUAACAGCUCGAAUACAUAUAUUUUAUAUUUAUAUAAUUUAUUUAAUUUAUAUUUUUUAUAUAUAAAUAUAUAAUUAUAUAUAAUAUAUAUUUUUAUUAUUUAAUUUUUAGCAAAAGAAAAUUAUAAAUGCGAGCUUAAUUAUAAAAAGACUCAUUUGUAUGUAAAGUUUCAACUAUUAGAUUAAAGUCUAAUGAAUAAAAUUUUAUAAAUUUAAUUUUUUUAUAUAUAUUCAAUCUAAUUCUUUUUAACUUAUUGUUUGUUGGUCAGCUCGUGAGCCAGUUCGUAUUCGGCUCGUUUAUUAACGAGUGGAACACGAGCUGAAUUUUUGGCUCGAUCCUUUAACGAGCCAACUCGUGUUCGGCUCGUUUAUUAAACGAGCUGAAUAUGAGCCGGCCCUAGCUCGCUCGUGUUCGGCUCUUUUACACCCCUACUCCAUGCAGGAAUACUGGUUUCAGCUCUGCCUUUUCAUUAUUUUUGGGUCAUGCAUGUNAUAAUAUAACGAGAGUUUUAGUUUAACUUUAAUUCAAUUUUUUCGUGACUGCUCGAUUCUCGAAGAUAAAAGAUUGAAAAUAUUCUGCUUUUUUGCAGAUCAUGAGAAAGAAUCACAAGAAAAAAUUGUUGUCUUUAAUAUUUAGAAAAUAAAAAAUUAUGUCAAAGAUACAAUUUUAAUAUUAAAUUUAGAUUUUCUUGGGUUUAUAGUUGAAGUAAAUUUCUUCUAUUUGUUGUUAGUUAUUUAUUCAACUCUCUAUAAUGAAUAAAAGAGUGGAAUUUUUUUCUCUUUUAGUGGAGGUUUCUUUCAUUUUUUGUGAAUCUUUAUCGGAUGGAACAAAAUGUUAGAAAUAAUCGCAGGAACGAAUUUUGAUCAUUAUAGAGAGUUGAAUAAAUAACUAACAACAAAUAGAAGAAAUUUACUUCAACUAUAAACCAACAAAAUGUUAGAAAUAAUCGCAGGAACGAAUUUUGAUCAUUAAUUAUUAAUUUUUUUUAAAAAAAAUUGGAGCGAAGUUUUUUUUUUUUUUAUCCAACGGUAUGCAAGUGCACUGUCGCAUUCAAAUAUUAAAAGGAAUUGCGGAAUUAAAGUUGAGAGCUACUGUUGGUGUACUUUUUAUGGUUCCUUAUUUAAUAUAUAAUAAUUAAAAUAAUAUUUAUGUUGUUGGUCACAUGUGAAUGAGACAAGAAGCAAGGCCCUAAUAUUGCCUAUGGCUAUGGAUAAGGUAUUUAUUUUUAUAAUGAGAUAAUAUUAUGUUAAAAUAAAAUAGGAGUUAGUAAAUUUAAAAUAAGAUAUUCAUUUUGUCAUCCUCUAAAAACUGCAAGCCGUGUUUAUUGAUGUAUACGAAGUAUUUGUGGAAGAUCCAGGAAAACCAAUUAGGCAAAAGAUGAAGCAUAAUAGUAUAGUAGCAUAAUUUUAUAUAUAUAUAUAUAUAUAUAUAGGUAUAGUAUUAUUAUAUAUAAUUGAGCUUUUAUGCUUUAAAACUACAAGUUAUUGGUGCUUGUAGAUUUUUAGCCAUUGGAUUAAAGAUAUGCGGUUAGGAUGAUAUGGGCCCCUAGGUUGAAUGGGUAGUUGGUUGAAUAGUAUAAUUUAAUGGUUGAAAAUGAUCCGAGAAGUAGAUUCUAACGGUAACAACUUACAAACACCAAAGUGCUUGUGCUUUUACAAAUACCAUAGCUGGACUAUAUAUAUAUAUAUAUAUAUAUAUAUAUAUAUAUAUAUAGAGUUGAGCUAGAAUACUCUCGAUAGUAAACGAGCAUUUUACUAUGAGUUGUUUUCGAUGAUAGAGCUUCCAAAUUGACGAUCGGCUCUGUUAAAUAUGAUUUAAACCAUUUAAACUACCUAGAAAUCAAAUUUCACGCACUUUCGAUAUUGUUCUUUUAUCCAUCUAGUGAAACAGAAAAAUGAAUGGUUGAAAAAUAAAUUCUUUAAAAAAUGAUGAUAGGAGUCUUGUAAUCAAGAUCAAAAGUAUAGAUCUUGUUUUAAAUAUUAAAGAAUUUUCUAACAAAAAUCAAUUGAUUUGGAUAUCUUUACACCGUUAAACGAGAAAACGUCUCUUAUUCUCCAUUAAAAUUACAAAUUUUGAAACCCUUUGAUCAUUGCAAUGAUGUCGAAAAAAUUUGAAAUUUGAUUUCUAAACACUUUAAGUGGUAUAGAUCAUGUUCAACGGAGCCGAUCGUCAAUUUGGAAGCUCUUAUCAUCGAAACAACUCGAUAUAAAAUGCCCCGUUUACUAUCGAAGUAUUCUAGCUCAACUCUAUAUAUAUAUAUAUUAUAUAUAUAUAUAUAUAUAUAUAAUAUAUAUAUAAUUAUAGUAUUCUCCUAUACUUUCGAAAGUACGGAGACCUCCGUGCUUGUAAGUUGUUUUCGAUGAUAGGACAUCCGAUUCAACGAUCGCUCCGUUAAGUCUAAUCUACACAUAUUGAACAUCUAGAAACCAAUUUUAUAAUUUUUUGACAUCAUUUAUCAAGCGAUCAAAAGGUCUAAAAAAUACCUAUUUUAACAGCUGAUGUGGCAUGUUUUUAAGUUCAACAGUGUAAAGUAUCCAAAUUAAUAUAAAAUUUAAUAUAAAAUCUACUUAAUAUCAAUACAAGAUCAAUACUUUCGAUUUAAAUUAAAUUUGAGUCAUUUACCACUGUUUUUUAUGAGAUUUUAUUUUCGACCGUUCAUUUUGAGGCUACUCGUUCAAUAGACAAAUGAAGUCAAAAAUUAUGAAAUUUGGUUUCUAGAUAGGUCCAAUACGUAGAUCAAGUUUAACAGAAUCGCACGCCGAUACGGAUGUCCAUCAUCGAAAAUAACUUACAAGCACGAAGGCCCUCCGUACUUUCAAAGCAUAGGAGAAUAUAUAUAUAUAUAUAUAUAUAUAUAUAUAUAUAUAUUAAUAUAUAUAUAUAUAUAUAUAUGGCCGGGGCUACUAUACUCUUAUGAGUAUAAACCUCUUGUACUUAUAAUUUUUAACGACGUUGAUUGAUGGAUGUAUGAUUAGGAUGAUGGUGGUCCCCAUUUAAAAUGAUAGUGAUUUUCUAGAAUUGAGUGAUAGUUGGUUGAAUAAUAUGAUCUAACAGAUGAAUGAUCAGUGGAAUAAAUCAUUUUUUUUUUCACUUGUGACAUUCGGAGGAAAAAUAAAACAUGUUUUAUUAAGAGAUACUGUAAAAGGUUAUAUUAAUUGAUAAGUAUUCAAGAAUAUAAAGUAAAUUAUUGAUAAAAAAGUAAAUAGUAAUAGUAAAAAAUAAUAUUUUAUUUUUUUUGAGAAAUAAAUAGCACGCUACCCGUUUCAUUUAUUUUAUUUAAAAAUAAAUUUAUUUAAAAAUAUAAAAUAAUUAGGUUUUAAAUUUAAAAUUUUAAAUACCAAUCAUCAAAUAUUUUACUACUUAAAAAAUUAGAGACGUGCAGAUGCACCGACGAAUCAAUAAAAGAACCGUCCUACAUUAAACAAUUUUAGAGACGCGCAGGUUCGGAGCAUCACGUUUCAUAACCGAACAAAAAUUAGUAAAUAGUAAGUGGCUGAGGUGUGGAAUGUGGAAUCUAAUGCAUUUCGUGCUUCUUUGUACGUGGCAUUGGCCCACACCAUGUAAUCCCCACUAACUCUCCUGUUUUACUAUUAUUAUUAUUUUCUUUCUUUAUUUUUUUUUUCCAUAUCUAUAUUUGAUAUUGUGUUGUACGAUUAAAAAAAAAAAGUACAUACAUAUGGAAUUUUAGCCUAAUAUUGUAAAUAAACUGCUGCAUAAAGUACUAUAGCUUCGUUUAAGAUUGCAGUAAGAUUACGUUACGUGUGGUGAAAAAGUUCGAUGAAAAAAUAUCUUAUUUGUUUCCGUACGUAAUAUUAUAUUUCGUAUAUCAUCAUGAUGAGCCGAUUAUGAUAUGUUUUCUGUGGUCUCGCCGCAGAAUGUAAAAGCAUAUCUCUAUAUAUUUUUAUUCCAACUUUAUUUUAUCUAAUAGCGCCGGAUAGCCUCAAUACCAAAUUAAGCCUAAAAAAAAAUUGUCAUUUAGGUUUAAUAGCAAAGUAAAUCGCUAGUUUUAAUAUUCUAAGCCAAAUUUUAUUUUAUCAGUUAAAAAUGUAACAUUUAAAAUUUUUAACUUUUAAAAUCAUCUAAUUUGUAGCCUAUAAUAUUUUGAAAAAAUUUACACGCAUCUCAUUUACACCACUGUUGACUCUUCAUGCUUCCAAAAAAUCAUCUUAUUUCAUACACAAAUAAAAGAAAAUCAAAUGAAAAGUUUCCAAGUGGUGUUGGCUUGAGCUAGAAAAAAUAUUUAUAUUGUAUAAAAAAAAAGUUGAGCUGAAAUGUUAUCAGUAGCACUUAAACGGACUUCGUUGCCAUCUAUUUAUUUUCGAUAAUGGAGUAUCCAAAUCGACAAUCGGUACUGUUGAACAUAAUCUAUAUCAUUUGAAGUAUUUAGGAACUAAAUUUCAAAUCUUUUCGACAUCAUUAGUCUAAUAAUCAAAGAAUUUCAAAAAUUAUAAUUUUAAUAGUCUAUAUAAGACGUUUUCACGUUUUAUGGUAUAAAGAUAUUCAAAUCAAUUGAAUUUUGAUUAGAAAAUUUUUUAAACUAUUUAGAACAACAUUUAUAAUCAUCACUUUUUAAAGAAUAUUCAUUUCAGCCGUUCAUUUUUGUACCCACUUGAUAAAUAAGAGAAUAAUAUUGAAAAAAAAAAUGAAAUUCACUUGAUGGACAAAAAAAUAAUAUCCAAAAAAACAUAAAAUUUGGUUUUUAGAUAUGUCGAGUGGUAUAGAUCAUAUUUAACGGUAUCGAUCGUUAAUUUAGAGGCUCUAUCAUUAAAAAAAAAUGAAUGAUAAUGGAGUCUGUCUAUUAUAGAUAGACGAACUUCGUCUAUCUAUCUAUUACUGUAUACCAAAGUUUGUGAACUAACGUUACUAUACUGUCACGUGUUCCCUGGCCGCCUUCGGUGCACUUGGUGCACUAUAGACCACCCUCCCCUCCGCUCUCUCACUAUGUGUGUGUAGGGUUUUAAAAUUGUAUAUUAUAAAGAAAUUUUAAAUUCCAAAUUUGAAAUUUCACAAUAUUUCUAAAUUUUUAAUUUCAAAAAUUAAAAUUUUAAAUUCUUAUUGUAUUUUUUCUCUUGCUUAAUUUUUAUUUAAUUUCAUAUUCAUACAUUUUCUCAUUUCUUUUCAUUUAUCAUCAAGAAAUAUAUAUGCCGCUUUUCUCUUUCUCUUAAUUUAAUUUUAAUUUAAUGCUUUUUUUCUCCAAACAAAAUAUAUGAAUAUUUAAAAUAAUUUUAAACUUGAAUUUAAUAAUUAUAUAUUUUUAAAAAUCUUUAAUUUUUAUUUUUUUACAGUAUAAGUAAAAUAUACUAUAUUUUGAAGUACUCUCUCUUUGACUUUAAUUUUUCAUUUAAUAUCCUCUUCUCUCUUAAAUAAUAAAUAUAAAAAAUUAAUAUUUUUAUUUUUAUUCUAUUAAAUAACUUUAUCAAAUAUAAUAAUAAUAUAAUAAUUAUGAACUUAGCAGCGGUAACACCUAUCCCACAACCUCUCCACAGAUGGGCCCACACCCAACCCCAACCUCUCCCUGCUUCCCCUCCCGGCCACGUGGAUCCCAACUCGGGAUUCGUUAUAUGUAAUAUUGUAAUGUAAUGUAAUAGAAGAUAUUGUAAUGUAAUGUAAUACUAGCGUAGGAACCUGCGCGAUGCGACAGGUAGAAAUAUUUUAGUAAAAUUUACAGUUUACAAACUUAACAAACAAAUAAAAAUAUUAAAAAUAAAAAAAUAUUUAAAAUAUUAUGAAGGGUAAUAAAUAAUAAAAGAAAAACUAAAGAAGCUCAAAUUCAUAUUUAAUUAAUCAUAUAAAAAUAUUUAUCUAUCCUAUUAUUUUUUUAAUUCAAAAUAGAUUUAUCUUAAAAUCAAUUAUUAUUGUUUUAUCUAUAAAAUAUUCAAUUGUCAUGUCAUCAAAAAAUUAAUACGAAAUGUAAAAAAAAAAAAAAAAAAAAAAAAAAAAAAAAAAAAAAAAAAAAGCUUGCCAUGUCAUCAUUUUUAUUGGAGAUUCAUAUAGAGUUCUAUAGAUAUUGUAAUGCAAUUUAAUGAUACGGAGAGAGAAGAAGCGAAGAAGAGCAUGGACCCCCUCAAAUGGCGCCUCCUCCCGAUUCUCGUCCUGCUCGUCUCCUUCCUCGUCCUCCUCCUCCAAAACCCUUCCGAGGUGAUCACCACCCCUCUCCUCCUUCUCCUCCUCCUCCUCUUACUCCCAUUUCCAUGGCGACGAGAUCUUAAUCGUUUGUAAAUUUGGACUUCGCAGUCUUAUUUGAGAUCUUAGAUGAGAUCAUAAUCACCCGAACUAGUGUUUAUUCGAAUCGGAUACAUGAUUUGAAUCGAAUUGUUGAUUCAUUUGUAGAGAUUGGAUAGCGCUUGUAGCCUCCUCCCCUACGAUCAUUACUGGAUUACUAGCAAGCGCAUCGUUACCCCUCGAGGUGUUACUCCGGGCGCAGGUAUAAAUCCGAAAAAUAUUGAGAGGUAGAAGGAUUUUGUGGUAGUGUGGCAUUUUGCGUCUUAUUUUUGGUUUAUGUAGUUCUUAAUUUGAAGAAUUUCCUAUUAUUUUAUUAAAACCCUUGCUAUCGAGGUUAGUGGAGGUGAAAGGAGGGCGGAUUAGUGCCGUGACCGAAGGGGAUUAUCAGCAUUGGGUGCUCUCCAGUAACCGUGUCGUCGAUUACGGCGAAGCGGUUGUCAUGCCCGGUUUGAUUGAUGUGUAAGAUGACUUGUGAUUUUCUUUUUUUCCCUUUUUUUCUUACCAAUCCAUGCUUAUCUUGUUAUGCAAAUAAUCAUUGAGUAUGUCGCGAACUCGCACCAUCAGUCACCAGUGAAAUAAGAGAGAGAAAUCGAUUCUUAUUUAAGAGAGAAUUUUUUUUUUUUUGUUUUCAGGCAUGCACAUCUCGAUGAGCCCGGAAGGGUUGAGUGGGAAGGAUUCUCUACUGGCACUAAGGCAGCAGCAGCAGGUAUAAUGCAAUCCUUCUCUGAUUGCUAAUUUCUCGUUGUCUAACCAGAAAAUACAGAAAAUACAUCAUUAGGGAUGCUAACUGCUUAAUUUGUCUGCCUUCAUAAUGUGUUCGUCUAUUUAUACUGUUGUUCUACAAUCUUUAUAAAGUAGCUUUAAGAUAUUCAGAAAAAUUCGCUAUGAUAGCUUGUUAAGAUUCAAAAAUACGUACAGGAAGCUACAAUAGCUGCUUCUAUGCAGAAUGUCUAAUGAUGGGUAUCACGAGAAAAGAUUUGUAUAUACUAGUAAGAUAAUAAAAUUUAUAAAUCCAAGUUAAAAUUAUAAUGAAGGCAAGCUAUAUCCUUCAUUUCUAGUUCUGUGAAUAUAAUUAUUCUUCUAUUUCAGGUGGCAUAACCACGUUGAUCGACAUGCCCCUUAAUAGUUUUCCUUCGACUGUGUCAGAAGAAACACUCGAGUUAAAGGUCAAGUUGCUUGAUGAAAUAACUCUAUAUUUGUUUACUUGUUUCUUUAUUGGCUGCUAACAGUUAAUCGUCAAUAACAGGUCAAGGCAGCUGAGAAGAAAAUUUAUGUUGAUGUGGGUAUGAUCCUGAACUUGCUGACCUUAAAUAGAUAAUAGUAAUAAUAUCUUUUCAAUAUCUAUCUAUGUGGUCAUGAUUUUUAACUUAUUUUUCUCGAUCAUCGCCUAACUGGCUUCAAAUGUAUUUUGCCAUUUCUUUAGCAGUACCGUACAAUUGAAGCCUUUUUAUUGCUUUAUCCUUUACUAAAAUCAGCAGUUCGAUGUUUCAUUCUCAAUAAUGCUAGCAUCAGAAUAUUAAUUGCACGCAGGAUUCUGGGGUGGCCUGGUACCAGACAACGCGUUUGACACAAUUGCUUUGGACCGUCUUCUUAGGGCUGGUGCACUUGGUCUAAAGGUAUUUAGCUAAAUAAACUCUUUGUGAAUUCUAGAUAUGGCAUCUUGCCAUCUACUGCUAAAUUAACUUUAUUCUGAUGUUUUCCAGUUUGCAUUCUAGAAUAGAAUUUUACUGAUUCUAUUGUGUGUUUUGAAGUCUUUUAUGUGCCCAUCAGGUAUUAAUGAUUUUCCGAUGACAAAUUCAACCCAUAUAAAGGUGAGUUUACUGUUAUCUUCUGAAGUAUGUUUUAAUCUCAGCCAUUUUAGUCUAAUUUAUAAACGCAGGGUUGCAAUGAUAUUCCUAUACUAAGUAGGUGAUAAACCAUACUAAUUAGAUGAUAAGACACUUCAGUUUAUGAUGCAGAAAACUUAAUUCUAACUCAUAGAUUAUACCAAAUUGCUUGGGCUCCAAGAGCGUUGCAGCUCUUAAAUAGAUGAUGAUCUGAGAACAAAAUAUCCUUGCUGUAGUAUUUACUCAUCGUCACAGAAUCUGAAGUUUCUAAGUGAAACCUUCACAUGCAUUUGUUGAUUCAGAUUGUAUUGUGGAACCUUUGUUUUGUUUGUAGGAGGGGUUGAACGUCUUGGCAAAGUACAAGAGGCCCUUGCUUGUCCAUGCUGAGGUUGUCUUGGAUUCUGAGAGCAACACUGAACUUACUUCUGUUGAUAGUUUGGACCCACGAUCCUAUGCCACGUAUCUUAAGACUAGGCCACCGUCAUGGUAAUUUACGACAACUACAUGUCUACUUGACUUAGGUUAUGGAAAGUUAUUUUAAUUUCAUACUUCAUAGCUAGUAGCCACUGCUUUUCAAUUGAUUCCCAUUGUUUCUAAGACCUCUAGAGCUGAUUUAUAAGUCAAAAUGCAACUAGAGGAGAUAUAGAACAUGAACAGAGAGCUUUCAAGCAGCAGGCUGUGAUCAUAGGCAACUUCAGCUCAUGUUCACACAAUCAUACAGCACGAAGAGUUUUUUUUUCCCUUAUAGUGAAUGAUAGAACAAUUAGUAUACCCCCUAUAUUUUCCUUUUCUUGUCUAAUUUUAAUUCCUAGAAACAUAUAACUCAUUAGUUUCUUAUCAGGGAGGAAGCAGCCAUUAAAGAGUUGCAAGCUGCAAUGAAGGAGACAGAGAUUGGCGGUCGUGCUGAAGGAGCUCAUAUCCAUAUUGUCCACUUGUCAGAUGCCGAAACAUCUCUAGAUCUUAUUAAGGUAUUAACUUUAAACUUCUUGCACUGAACAAUGUUUUUCUGGAACAUGGUGUUUCCAAGUUAGUCAACAAAAUCUGCUAGAUUGCCACUACAAGAAAAGGAUAAUAUGUACUUUGAGAGCAGAGUAUACCAACUUAUUAUGAUGAAUAUAUAAUUCUGGCAUCUAACAGUCGUAUUGAUCACUUUUUUAAAUAGGGAUUGUGCUUUUACAUAUCUCCUUUAGAAUAAUCAUGCAACGGUUGUUUCUGCUUGAUACGUGCACAGAACUGUAAAUAGUGGAUGCAAACUCUCGAAUGGUGAAAGUUCUGUUCCCUCUGCUGUAUAUCUUUUUCAGACAGCUAAAAUAGUGGAUGCAAACUCUAAUGGGAGUCGGUUCUCUAAGUACGAGAAAACUAAUCGUAAGGAUCACUAGGAUUCAGCAAGUUGGUUUCUUAUAUUAUUAAUUCCUACAUGUUUCUUUACCUUUUCCCUUAUACGUGCUACUAUGGGCAUAUUGCAUAUUUUUAACUACUUAACAAUAUUCAUUCUUUUUGUUUUAUUAUGAUCCUUCUAGUGCAAUUCAUAACUUACACCGUGAUAUACUUUUGCAACCUAAAGGAUGCAAAAAGCAGAGGUGCUAGUGUAACCGUGGAGACCUGUCCCCAUUACCUGGCUUUUGCAGCUGAAGAAAUUCCAGAUGGGGAUACUCGUUUUAAAUGUGCUCCACCUAUACGCGAUGCAGCUAAUAGGCAGCAAUUAUGGGAAGCUUUGCUGGUAUUGCUGCUUUUCUAGUGCACUUUUUGUCAUUACUCUUUUUUUUUUUUUUUUAAAUCCUGUGAUAUGAUGUGUUAUAUUAUUCAGGAGGGGCAUAUUGAUAUGUUGAGUUCCGAUCAUUCACCGUCGGUACCAGAUCUAAAACUCUUUGAUGAAGGCGACUUUCUGAGAGCGUGGGGUGGCAUAUCAUCUUUGCAGGUGUAGUGUACUGAAUUUCAGUAUACUUUGCCGAAUUUUGGCCAAAUUGGGCAAAGUACGGAUAAAAUGGUGUUUUACGCCUUGGGCGGAUAGAAAAAACUCUAUCCGUUCGGCGGGUUUGUGCACGCACCCGCAAGGGCUUCUGCUAUGGGAUAAGGCGGGGCGUGACAGCAGGUCUGUGUGCAUAUGAAGGGUAUGAGAAUGGGAAUAAUACUUUUGCUUGGACAGACUGAAAGUCUUGUCACUUUGAAUUCAACUGGCCAGCAUUUUCCAAAGAUAGAUGCCUGAACGUAUAGGAGAGUUCGAAUUGGAUGUCAUAAUUUACAUUUUACAAGUCAAAUAAAUCCUCCUUGAUGCUUAUCUUCUGCUCAUCUUUUUCCAAGUUACAUAGACUAACUGCUAUGAGUGAUUACAUGGCAUUCUUACUAUCACUGCUGUUGAUUAUUAUUAUACACUUUGUUAAGUUUGUAUUGAAGGCUUAUGGGCUUGAGCUGGAUGUUUGCAGUUUGUUCUCCCUGUAACAUGGUCUUAUGGACAGAAAUUUGGAAUUACUUUGAGUCAAUUAGUUUUGUGGUGGAGCGAAAGGCCAGCUAAACUUGCAGGCCAACAACACAAGGUAGAGUAUCCAGAAUUAGGAUCUCCAUUUACACAAAUUAGUGCCUUUUUCCAUGGACUCAAAACUGUAACUUAAAGUUGCAAUCGACUAAUAGAGGAUUUCUUCGACAAUAAGAAUGCAUCUCGUGGAGCACUUCAUUCGCAAAAUCUUCAGAUACAAAUACAGUGCAUUGUUGUGUACAUACACGACUGUGCUCAUACUGUGCUCACAUGUGAGAGAGUCCGAAGUAUAAAAGAUACAUUCUUCAUAUCCAUGGCAUAUUUGAACAUUUAUCGUUUCUCUAUGGAGUGAUAUGCAUUGAUAUGAUUACUGGAUGGAAAAGAUAUGCACGGCAAAAUAGGUUGUGGGCAUGAUAUUCUUUAAUUUUCUUCUUUCAUGCCCUAUGGAGUCAAAAUAUGACCAACCAAUGAGAGGUUGGCUACCGUAUAUUAUCUUGCCAUCUCUUUCUAAUGCCGACUCUCAUUCUUUGACAGGGAGCCAUCAUACCAGGGAACGAUGCUGAUUUUGUUGUGUGGAAACCUGAUGUGGAGUUUGACCUCAACGAAAACCAUACUAUAUACCAUAAACAUCCAGUUUGUUUUUCAUUAUUUACAUAUUUCUCGAAAUAUGCUCCAAAAAAAGAAAAUUGCUUUAAAGUAAUCCUUGAAAAGGAAACAGAGUUAUGUGGACAAUUUAUUUGAAAAAUUCGUCAGCUUAAAUAGUUUACUUUCACAUAUGCAUGAACUCACUCCUGUUCUUGGUACAGAAUAUUUCUGCAUACGUUGGCAAAAGGUUAUCUGGAAAGGUGUUGGCAACUUUUGUAAGAGGGAAUCUUGUAUAUACCGAAGGAAAGCAUGCCCCAGCAGCAUGUGGUGUUCCGAUCCUUGCUAAGUGAAAAAACAGAUUGGUAAGCCAUGCCAAUUAUUAUCUGCAUCUAUACACUGCAAUUCUAAAUCUAAUAAAAAAAAAAGCGUCAAUAUCGUCUUUCUUUUCUGAUGAGUGCCUGCAGUCACGGUUUUGAAUUUGCUGUUUGUAGGUGGUCAGCUCUUGUAAAUGAAGCAUCCUUUGUCGGCGGGGAACUCUGAACCUAUAAAUCAUUGUGCCGCUUUUCAUGGCAGUUUAGUCGCUUGUAUUAUUCAACUUGCAUUCUACCAUUUUUCAGUAAUAUUGUGUGGAUUACACUCAGAAAACCUUCAAAUAGCCACUAAUCUCAUGCAAGCAUUGCCAAAACAUGAAGAAAAGUUUGAUAAAUAUCUAUUGUUAUUGCCAAAAUUAUUGAUCGAUUGAUUUGUAUCGCAGCGAAGAUUCCAUGUUUCCAAAAGAAUAACGUCUAUGUAGUGUUGAAACAUGGGAUUUUCAAAGGAUGCUUUUGCUGUUGUUGACGACACUCUGCAAAGAGAAAUGCUGCUGUUACUGCUAAUCUUUCUUUCCGUCUCACCUUUUAUUUAUUUAUUUAUUUAUUUUUUUUGAGAGAUAGGUAAUAUGCUAUCCUCUUCGUUUAUUUCAUUUAUAAAUAAACUUAGCUGGAAAUGUGAAUCAAUCAGGAUUCGAACUUGGGUCUUGGAUACCAACUACCAAGCCCAAGCCCAAGCCCUUUGCCGCUUCGUUUAUUUUAUUUAUUUAUUAUUUUUUCCGACAAUGUUUGGAGGACUCUUACGUAUUGCAGCUAUAGUUUUUUAAUCACAAAUACUUAAAAGAGGAGCCACCAAAUCAAACAAGAUCCUUCGAAAUCGCCCUGCGAGAGCCGGACCUUGAACAUCUCUCUGUGUACCUCAUUUACAUCCUCCAAAAGAAUAAUAUAUCAAAUUGCUUUGAAAAAACUACAUCCCCAUUCCCAUUAUCGUAACUCACCUUAAAAACCUCUUAUUUAAUAGUUUUAAUUUCUGAACUUUUUAAUUUAUUUCAAUUUUAUUCCUAGCUAUUAAGUGUAGUAAUUUUUUUUUAAUAUAAAUUAAUAUUUUUUUAGAAUUGUGCUAGUCCUACGAUACAAGUGGGAUAUUCGUCUUUCCCUCCAAACGAACGGAUAAGGCAACGGUAGCUAUUUGUAUGUAUACAGCAGGAAAAGAGUCCUUCCUCAUGGGAGCCUCUCACUGCUUCCUCCUCCCAAGAGGAAAAACCCCGACUCUCCUCUCCUCCAUCGACGCCAUACCCAUCUCCACCUCCCCCGAACCUGGGGUUUCAACCCGCAUCGUCCUCUCUAGGGUUAGCUUUUCAAAGCUCUUUCGGGAGAAACCCCGCGCCCUCCGCCUUAAAGCUAGGGCUACUGUGACACGAAUCCCGGAGACCGCCGACUCUAGGGUUUCCGAGGAGCUCAGGAGGGAGACGGAGGAGUCCCUGCAAUGGCGCUCCGUGUGCUCCCAGGUCGCCGCGUUCGCCUCCACCAGCGCGGGGCGCGCCAUGUGCGAGAGCGGGGAGCUCCCGGUCGGAGCAGACCGGGAGGAGAGUGAGAGGCUCUUGGACCAGACGGCUGCCGCCGUGCUGCUUCCGGAGCCGUUGGAUUUCUCCGGUGUUGAUGAUGUGUCGGAGAUCGUGAGGUCGGCGGUGGCUGGGGAGUUGCUCACCGUCCGGGAGCUUUGCGCCGUCGAGCGGAGCCUUCGGGCCGCAGGAAGGGUUUUUGAGCAGCUGAAGCAAGUUUCCGGCGAUUCCGACAGGUGAUGUGCUCGUAAUUUGGUUCUUAAAACUCCUUGAUUUGAAGCUGCAGUUUGUUUUUUUAUGUGAAUAUAUUGAACUGUAACAUUUGUAGGCCAUAAUUUAACUGUAUUAGUAGAGACAGAGAAAAAAUUAUGAGUUUUUUUUUUUCUCUCUCUAAAGGUAUCUUAAAAAUUGCAAAAAGAUUCUCUUUUGAUUUGCUUUUAUUGUCAUACUUUUAGGUUUUGAAUACAAGAUUGAACCAAUUUUAUACAAACUUUUGUUAAUUCUCAUUCUAGCAGGCACUCUCCUCUUCUUUGCAUAUUUCAAGAUUGUUAUUUUCUGACAGAACAGGCUCAGAAUAUAGAAUUUUGUGUUGAUUGUACUCUCUCUAUAGUUCUCGAUCGGGCCAGUAAGAAGUUGGCGUCAAUAAGGAUGGAUAGGAAGCUAAACAUGGAGAAACUGGAUUCUCUAUUGAAAGAGGUGUCGAUUAGGGUUUUCCAGGCCGGCGGUAUCGAUAGCCCAUUGAUCACUAAGCGCCGGUCUAGAAUGUGUGUUGGUGUUAAAGCUUCGCACAAAUCUCUUCUUCCUGAGGGAAUUGUUUUGAGUUCCAGCAGCUCGGGCAUGACGUACUUCAUGGAGCCAAGAGAUGCGGUUGACCUGAACAACAUGGAAGUGAAGCUCUUGAGUGAUGAGAAAGCUGAGGAGAUUGCUAUUUUGGGCUUUCUAACCUCACAAAUAGCUGGCUCGGAAGGAGAGAUUAAGCAUUUGAUGAACAAGAUUGUAGAGUUGGACCUUGCUUCUGCUAGAGGUGCAUAUUCUUUGUGGAUUCAUGGUGUGCGGCCGACUUUUACGAGGGAAAAUGAGAAUUUGUCAGUUGAUAUUGAAGGUAUUCAGCAUCCUGUGCUCCUUGAACCUUCCCUCAAAAGGCUGAAAAUGGUAAAAUCAAGUGAAACAGUGGAAGAUUCUUCAGAAUUUCCCAUUGGGGAACCUCCUGUUCCCCUGGAUAUAAAAAUAGGGCAUGCCACAAAGGUGGUCGUCAUCUCUGGACCUAAUACUGGAGGGAAAACUGCUACUAUGAAAACCUUGGGCUUGGCCUCUCUUAUGUCAAAGGCUGGACUUUUUUUGCCUGCUAAGUCUACGCCCUCACUUCCAUGGUUUGGUCAGGUUCUUGCUGAUAUUGGUGAUCACCAGGUAGUUGUUGCUGAUAUUCUUUUGUAUUUUGGUGAUCAAAUUUGAUUUGUUGAUGAAAUUCUUCUUUUUUCUUGAUUCAAGUCCUUGGAGCAUAGCCUCUCUACCUUUAGUGGGCACAUUUCACGACUCCGCAAAAUAAUCAACGUUGUUUCGAAAGAAUCGCUUGUUCUGGUUGAUGAGAUUGGCAGCGGCACAGACCCUUCAGAAGGUGUGGCUCUUUCCACCAGCAUUUUGCAGUAUCUUUGUGAUCGCGUUGGUCUAGCCAUUGUGACUACUCAUUAUGCUGAUUUGAGUCGUCUUAAAGCUGUUGAUUCUCGGUUUGAGAAUGCUGCAAUGGAGUUUUGUACGGAAACCUUGCAGCCUACGUAUAGAAUAUUGUGGGGGAGUACUGGUAGUUCUAAUGCUCUGAGUGUUGCUAAGUCAAUUGGGUUUGAUCAGAAAGUGCUUGACCGCGCACAAGAAUGGGUUGAGAUGCUAAUGCCUGAUAAACAAAAGGAACGGCAGGGUUUGCUGUAUCAGUCUCUGUUGGAAGAAAGGAGCCGCCUAGAAUAUCAAGCAAAAAAAGCUGCUUCUGUUCUUUCAGAUGUUAAGAAACUUUAUUUCGAGGUAUUCUUUUCAGCACGACGGAUCACUGUGUUCGUCACAGCAUGCAUGUUCAUUUCAUUGACGUCUCAAGGUCAUGUGGUGCUUUCUACAUCUGCAUUCUCUAAAAAUUGAAUACAGAACAUGAUAAUGGAACUAAUGUCUGGUUUGCUGCAUUAUUUUUUUCUCUUUAAUAAUCUCAUUAUUUUUCAAGAUAUGUUUAUGAGCUAAAUACUCGUGCUAGGCAUGCCUCUCUACUUAGAUAACUAAGAUCUGGAGAGCGGUUGCAAAAUGAAAAUUCCAUAAUUAUGUGCCAGUGAAGCUAGUUAUCGUUAGCCCAACUCUUUCAUACUAUAUUUGUUCGAGUUUUGGCUCUUUAUUGGCUAUAGUUGCCUGUGAAUUUUGAUAUUAAUUUCCUAAAUUAUUUAUUUAUGGGAAUAUAUUGAUUUUAUUAUCAUGCUGUUACUGCUCUGUUAGAUUCAUUCUGAGGCUGAGGAUCUUGAUAAGCGGGAGGUGGCCCUAAAGGCGAAAGAAACUCAAUUAAUACAACAGGAACUAAAGGUUGUGAAGUCUCAAAUGGACUCCAUAGUAAAGAACUUUGAGAAUCGACUCCAGAAUGCAACUCCUGAUCAAUUUAAUUCAAUAAUGAGAGAAGCAGAAGCGGCUAUUGCCUCUUUGGUUGCAGCUCGCACUCCAACAGAUGAUAUGUUUGAUGAAGGAACAGAGAAUCAGAAUUCCUAUGUCCCUCAAAUUGGAGAUAAAGUAUAUGUUAAAGGAUUAGGAGGUAAGUUGGCUACAGUCGUUGAAGAACCUGGAGAAGAUGGUGUUACUAUGGUUCGGUAUGGAAAAAUAAAGGUUCGUGUGAAGAAAAAUGACAUGAAAUUGUUCCAAAGAACCAUGAAGGAUAUGGCAGUGACUACAUCUCGACUUAUAAAAGCACAGGUUUGUAUACAACAAUUUUAUAUCCAUCAUCAUCUGAUUUAUUUACCAAUUUCCAUGCUUCGUGAAGUCUAGUUCAAUUUUCUGUGCAACAUGUGCGUUAUUCCACGCUACUCAACUUGUCUAGCUACCAAGCUACCUACUGCAAAUAAUCUUCAAUAAUUGAUAAAUGGAUCUUUUCGAAAUUUAGUCACCGUUGGUUUUAGUAUCAUCAUCUGAAUUUUGUAAAAUUUAGCUUCAUUUCAAUUUCAUUCCUGGAAAAGUUUCAAGUGGAAAGAUUUGGUUCUGGUGUUUCCUAUAUUUAUACUCAGCAUUUAUCUAUGUAUAUGCAUUUAGAAGCCAAAUACAUUUAAAUCAGUGAUACUGGUUGAGAAGUGUGCCUAAUUUGAAUAUAUUGCUUAUAAUUUCUUCUUACUUUUGCUUGCUUUAGGAGCAAAAGAAGUAUCCGAGGAGACCAUCCAUGGAGGCAAAGGAAAAUGAAGAGGAGGCUUCUUUCGGGCCGGCCGUGCGGACAUCGAAGAACACAGUCGAUCUGCGGGGCAUGCGGGUCGAAGAAGCAUCACAUCACCUUCAAAUGGCGAUAUCGGGGAGCAGAUCUCGCCAGGUUCUCUUUGUUGUUCAUGGGAUGGGUAGCGGCGCCGUGAAGGCGAGUGCCCUAAACAUUCUUCGAAAUCAUCCUCGAGUGGCCAAGUUUGAAGAGGAAAGCCCCAUGAACUACGGGUGCACCAUUGCUUAUAUCAAAUGAUUAUUCUUUCAUUUGAUUUUACUUUUUUCUUUUGUUUCUCAAAUCAAUACCUACAAUGUCAAGAUGUGUAUUCUAGCCAUUUCGAUUUUCAGGUGUAAAAAGAUUGCAGCUGGAGAUUUAGAUUUAUCUCGUUCAGCAGAUCCGGGCCAUCAUACGAUAGAGCAUAAAAAUUUGCAUCUGUGCCUUCUAAGUAGUCCAUACCAUAAUUGCAUUUAUGCCCUCCAAGUGGGAUCAUUUUCAUAGUAAACAUUCAGAGCCUGCUUGUUUCCGUGAUUCGUGGUCGUCGAUCAUGUUCUUCCUAAACUCUCAAUUUCUUAGGAAAGAUCAAAGCCCCAUCAUUUUUAGUGCAGUACAACUUUUUUUUUUUUUUUUUCCUUUUGUAAAUACAAAUGGAUGUGGUUUUAGGGGUAUAAUAGAAACAAAAUCUUUCUUAUUUAUCUGGAAGCUCGUUUUGUUUUGUCAGUUGUAAACGUAAAACCACUUUCUAUUCUAUCCUAUUCUUGAAAUUACAUUACAGCUGGCGAUUAUUACAUUAUAUAUGAUCAUAAUUCGUCGCCAGUAAAAGAUACGACGGUUGCUUCUUUUUCCACUCUGUUUCCACCCAAUUCCACCGCGAUCUCCACCGCACAAAUGCAAACCAAACCCCCCAAAUCGCCCGCCACGUGUCCCUUCCGUUUCCCUCUAAAUCGCGCCAAAAGCGGGAGACCCCCUCUUAAAAAGGGGCGAACCCCCCCCUCUCUCUCUCUCUCAUUUGAAAAGAGGAAUCGAUCGAAGCGAGGGGAGAGAGAGAGAGAGAGAGAGAGAGAGCGCUUUAGCCCUAACCCUAACCCUAGGGGGAGCUUGGUUAGGGAACGAUGGGGGACUUGGAGAAGCAGUUGAAGGAGAAGGCGAAGGAGUUGAAGAAGCUGCUGAAGAAGGGGAUGAAGGUGGUGGGCCCGCCGUGCAAGAGGGGGAUGAAGGUGGUGGGGGCUUCGUGCAAGAAGGGCUGGUACAAGGUUCGCAAACACCUCAAAGCCUAAAGAGAUUUAUUUUUAUAUUUAUUCUUAUUUUUAUUUAGGAUUCUCUCUCUCUCAUUUGUGUUUCUCUCUCUCUCUCUCUCUCUCUCGCACAAACUCUCAAUCUCGAUGUAUUGAUCUCUUUCUCCGAUUUGAUAUACUGGGAUUUUUUGUGAUGGGUGUUUCUUUGUCGGAGAUUGGAUCGUGGUUCAUUGCUAGUUAAUUGGUUUACUAAUUUUAGAAUCUUAUCGACAUUAUAACUUCUCUGUUAUUAUGAUUUUAUUUUUCGGUUAGAAACUUAGAAUUAGAGAUGUGAUGGUUUCUAUAUUCAAAUACAAAUAUGUUAUCUCCUGGAUUUUUUUUUUUAUUAUUAUUACUCCAUUGUUUUCAUGGAUUAAUUAUUGCAUGCACCAGGUGCACCAGGUUGGUUGCCCAAUACGAGCUGUAUCUAUAGUUAUUGAUGUUUGAAAAUACACAAUUAAUACCGACCGCACCCAACUCAGUUUGCUAAGAAUUUGAUAGACGGUACUUAAAAUUUUAAAUUUAAAGUUUAAUUAGUUUAUAUUUCUAACUAAGUUUAUUUUUUAAAAAAUAUAAACGAAGCGAAUUGAUUACUACAUUUCUGCAGUAAUCAAAGGGUUGAAGAUAUUAAAAAAUUCAUAAUUUAACAUGUUUGAAGAUAAUGGUUUAGCAUGAAUCUUCCCGAUCCAUAAAAGAAAUGAUACCCAAAAGUUAUAAUUUUUGUGUAUAAGACUAUUUGAAUACCGUAAAUUAUAUAAGAUGAUAUAAAAUGGAGUAGUUUUUUUUUUUUUUAUUCCGAGUACUUGAGAUUGUGGUUUUAGGGAUGCCGUGUAUGUGGAAAAUAAUCUCCCACAUUAGUGGCUGUUAUGAGUGAGUGGUUGGUGGAUUUAUCAUUGCAAAGGCAUCACAUUCCCUUCGAAUCAAGUUCCCUAAGUGGGUCAAAAGGGGGGGAAAAAAGAGCCAAUUAUUCAUCUAUAUCUUUUCAACAAAAGGAAUCAUUCAUUCCCAUUUCCAUUCCGAUUCUGGUCUACUUCGAAUUCAUUUUCUCCUUCUCCCCUGCGGUGAACUAAACAUGCCCUAAUUGGUGGUUAAUUGAUUCACGACUACGUGAAGAGAUACUGCAAAUUCGGUUUAAGACAAGUACAAUUAUGCAGUAAACUUUUGAUCAAGAAAAUAGCAAAAGAACCGACCGUCUCUAGAGCAAGUGACAAAGGACAAGGGCUUGGUGGUUGGUACUCGAGGCCCAAGUUCGAAUCCUAGUUGAUUCACAUUUCUAGCUAAGUUUAUUUCUAAAUAAAAUAAACAAAGCAGGUAGCAUGCUAUCUAUCUCUUAAAAAAAAAAAAAAAAAAAAGAAAAGAAAAAAAGAUAAUAGCAAAGGAGAAGGGGUUCACGUGUGUCACCUCAUUUGUAUAAUAAUAUUGAGGAAAAAUUUUAGAAUGCAACGGGUAUAUUAGUGAUGUGGCGUAACAAACCAAUCAAAUAUCUCCUUUUAAGAGUAUAUGUCCCAUCAUGAUUAUAAAAAAAUAUUUUUAUUAUACUUUUGUUUGAAAAGAAGAAAUGUGAUUGACUUGUUAUUGAUGACGUGGUGCAAGUGUGACAGCAUAGAAUUCCUCAAUAUUGAGGCACAUCUAUUCUCAUUUCAUGUGUUCAUGUUGGAAUAACUUAUAUUGCUGAAGAGCACACACUAGCAGUGUGAGAAAACCAGUGCAUCAUUAGCUUUUCCUUAUCUAAUACACAGCAUAUGGAAGAAAAUGCAUUAACAUACUAAAUCCCAUCACAAAAAAACUGAUAAUACUGCUGAAAAAAAGCAAAAACUAAGGGACAAAAAAAAAAAAAAAAAAAAAAAUUGAGGCCAAGCACAGGAGGGCGAAUAGAUUUGGAUUGUGAUGAGCAUCAGAAAAACGAGUCGUCUCACGAUCCUUGGGUUAGUCUCUGCAUUUCGCCUUGGCUAUCCAGUGUUUCCAUGAGAAGCGGAGGUGCGUAUUGGGCAUUUCCUUGAUGUUCUUCCGCAUCUUGGCAGAAAGAGAGGAUGAUGGUGUCGAUCGACAUCUCCACAACCGCGAAGAAUAGGGUUGCAACUAUGUAACCGAGAGCCCACGAUACCUGCACAACCAUGGAAAAGAAGUUAGUUUCUGAAUGUAAAUGAACAACUACUCUUUCUUUUCGUUCCGAGAUAAUGGACUUUCGGAACUAUUCUCUCUUCAUAUAUGCAUCAUCCAAAAUUAUAUAUGGUUUCACUCGCUCAAUUAAACGAAACAGAAAAGUCGUUAUCAUAAUUUGAAGCAUUUACGUGAAGCGCACGAAACACCAGAUGAUAGUGCAAAACCUAGCAAUGGUUUAGAAAAAUGAGUCCAUUACGAGUAAACGACAAGCAACGACUAGUCCUCGAAUCCAAAGAAAGGUCACCGAUUUUGGAGUCCCUUUCAGCAGAUGUCGUGUUCUCUUGAGAAACAGGUAGACUAAUAAUAUCCGACAAAGGAGAAAAACAAUAUACUACUUCGAAUAUGCGAGAGAUUAACUGCAACAGCGUUAAGGAACAUACCAGAACAGGAAAGAGAGGAGAAGAGAUCUUGUUGUGCGCAGAUUUGUAUUUGUGAGUGUCCAACAUAAGAAACGCGAAGAGCGCACAGAAGAGGCUGACGCACAGCUUCCCAAGAAAGAGAAUAACAUCCCCGAUGACAUUCACCUUUCCGAUCCGCAAAAUAUUAUUCAUUAUCAAUCCCGUUGCAAUUGCAGAAGCUUUGCAGAAACCUUUCCCAGUGAUUGCUAUCUACAGCACCAAAAGUAAUAGAAAAAGAAACAAAUUAGCUGUGGAUUGUUCAGGACUUCAAAUUAUCAUUUAUGGGAAAAAUCACUGUAGUUCAUUUUUGUUCAAAAGAACAAAAAAAAAAAUCAGAAGUUUAUGUUACAUAAUACCCAAAAUUAUAUUCAGAUACUUACCAUAAUAUAAGCAUUCCGAUUCACGGAUUUGAUGGUCCAAUCUAUGCACCCUAGGCAACACUGAGAAGAAGAGGACAUUGUUCUCCCCAUGCAGCUUUCAGAAACAGUAUCAACGUGCUUCAACCUGCGGCGAAGAGACUCGAGUAUAAACCGCACCCACUCCACAAUUGACACCACCAGUGACCCAAGAGCAACGGACCCAAGACUGUAUCGCAGGAGACGCUUUACGGAAGAGAAUACAGGGAGAAAUGGAAUCUCCUCCUGUAUAGAACAUAAUUCAAGUCAUUCUCCCACAAAGGAAAACAGAGCCUUUGAAAAGGCAAAAUGGAAGAGUUGGAAUUUUAAAGUUAAGCACGCAACAGCUAAACAUUUUAGCAAUACCUUUUUCUCUUAAAUAUUAUCUAGAAAUGCAAAUCAAUUAAUUGCUUUUAAUGUGUUUCAAUAGUUGCUUCUGAUAAAAAAAAUCCUGUGGUUUUGGAGAUAUAUGGAUUCACAUCUACAUACCACUGUACAAUUUAUUCUCCCCGAACAUUGUCAAUACAAGCAUGAAAAACUAAUAGCAUAGAAUACAGGGAGAAAGACUCUCUGUUAACCUAACUAUUGUUGAAACUUGAAAAAAGUAAAUAUGAAAAGAACAGAUAAUGGGCUACAUCCUGCUAGUCACACACAUUGACUUUUUUGUAGAUAUAUAACAU
rnacentral:lncRNA from 1 species